GUCAAUAUAUCAAUCUCAUAGUAACUUGUACUUUAGUAUUGUUUUAUAAAUACUAUUAUAUAAAUCGAGCUUGUUUGUUCAUGAGUUCAUGUUGAGCUAUAUUCUUUUGUUUUUUUUUUCAGGUAUAAAUUCACUUAUAAAAUAAAAUAUAAUAAUAAAUUACAAAUGAUUUCUCUAAAAGUUGUUUCACAAAGGAAAAAAAAAAUAAUUAAAUACUUUAUUUUACAUCUUCAAUCUUCUCCACCAAUAAUUUUAAAUUCGACAAAAUAAGUUCGACUAGGGAGGAUAUGCAUGCGGUGGAGGAACAUGAACUAGCUCCGUUAACAGGAACUCCUCAUCGUCGCUUUCUCCGAGAUUCAGAUUCUGCACCUGGAGCAUGACGAGCGCGCUUGAUUCAUCCUCCUAUUGCUCCUGCCUCACGACAUGGGUUGGUGAUGGAUCUGUGCUCGGCGUCGUCGGUGGAGCUUCCCGCGAACCACCAUCGACAGGGCUGACUCCUUCAAACCGAGACCCACGGCAGUAUCCGGCGUCAUGGAGGUUCCGGUUGCAGCCAUAAUUUCGCCGGCCUUGGUGCUUUUGUUGGAGGGUGGGACGGGUUUGGUAAUGAUGGAGUUAUGGUUUUGUAUGAUGGAGGUGAGGGCGUUAUGCGAUCUUCACCAGGAAGAUAGAUACAAAAACCCUAAACUUGGGAGAGGAAGCAGAGCCCUAGGCGUAGGGAGAAUUUUUAGUACUGGACGAAACAAUUGAUCUGCAAUUUAACUCAUUUUUUAAUUUAGACCUUCAAUUUAAAUAACUUUUUUUAUAUUUAUAAAUUGAUUAAUAAAUUUUUUAUAUGUCAUCCAACAUAUUUUAAUACAUACAAGUUCAAUCUAAUAUAUUAAACCAUUAUAAUUCGUUGAAAUUUAAUUGUUUAAAUACGAUUCUCAGUCCUACUCAACAUUAUCAAUCAAUCACAUCAGUCGCAAAUUAGUAAAAGUGCUUUACGAAUGUGAGUGUUAAUAAGGCGAAACUUGAAAAAAGUGAUAAAAUUCGAUAAAAAUCAACCCGCCCAAUGUUCUUAAAAUUUUAAUUCUUGCCACACGAAUUCUUUAGCAAAAGAAAAUGUGAAUGAUGUUCACUGAGUGAGGUUUUUGUAUCCGGCUGACCAUUAUUUAUUAACAAUAAUUUUUUAUCAAAAAUUUUCAAAUUCGAAUACACAAUUCUAAAAUUAGAGUAACUCUACUCGAACAUUAAAUACUAGUCGGAUAAAGCGGGAAAAUAGAGGGGCUAAAAGCCUAAAAUGCCAUUAAAAAGGUGGGAAAUAGAGUCGAUGGUGGGAAAUCCAUAUCCAUUCCUGAUACGGCGACGGUUCAUAUUUAAUCGUCGGAUUCGUCAAUCGUCAGCUUGCUAGUUCUUGCACACAAACGAGAGAUAUUUGUAAUGAAAUAAAUCGAAUUUACCCUUUGAUUUGCCUCCAUCUGAUCUCAGAUUCAAUCUUGAGGCCGAGAGCGGGAGGGCACCGGACUUCACUUCUCUGAGGUAAAACCCUGAUUUUCUUUCUCCUUCUUCUUUGUGUAUGUUUGAGCAGCAGUAGUUUCGUUUGGAGGGGCCACAGAAGCUUUGCUUGAUCCGAAUUUGCUGCACUCUUUAUUUUCUUCGAGCUUAUUGGGUUCUUGAUUGUAUGAAUCUAAAUGAGGUCUAGCUAAAAUUUUCAAUUUGAGUUUGAAGCCAAUGGUUUUUGGUUUCAUUCUUUUUCGGUUGAUGCAAUUUAUCUUUGCUUUGGUGUAAACUACAAAAGGUUGAUUUUUCAAUUUGUUCAAUAACCCUUUUAGCCUUUAGGAUUUAGUUUGUUUCUAUUUUUCAAAUUAACUUCAAAGACCUACCUUUGCCCUUAGAAUUCCGUAGAGGAAAGGAUAGCGAUAAUAUCUGUAGUUGUCGGACAAUUAUAAAUCCGAUGGUGGAGCUAAAGUUUUACUGUCACUGCAACAUCUGUAGAUGGGAAUUUUAUCUAGAGCUAUUUUAAUUGGUUGUUUUUGGUGUAUAGGUUCGGCUAGGAGUAAUACUUAGCUAGCAGACUUGUCAAGAGGGUCAUUUUAUAUUUUGGUAGAUAAUGGAGACUGAGGAGAACAUUGGCACGCCUGCUGGCUGUGAUUCUGAGGGCAUAAAGCAGGAUAAUAAUCCGGAUUUACAGCCCAGUGUUGAUGAUUCUCAAUCGCAUUUGGGAAUUAAAGAAGAUGAGGUAGAUGCUAAUAACUCCGCUCCUGGUGUAAGUAAUCAUGGAACUGAAGGUGGAUCAGGCUUCUUGGCGUUCAGUGAUGGCAACAUUGAAGAUCAGUAUGUCCAGGUUAACAGAACUGAUAGUGAUCAGGUUAAUGGUGAAACAGAAGUUGACAUGGAUCUGGUCGAUUCGCCUAUGCAUGUUAAUAUUCAAGUGACUGAGGUUUUUUCUGUUCAAGACAACAUGCCUAGCACGUUGAAUGCUGAGAAUGGCAGCCUUUACGCACCCCCUGAGAGUUGUAAAGGUAAAGGAUGGGUGUGUUGUUUUGGUAUUCUAUUCAGUAACAUAUAAUUUGUUAAGUUUUGUACAUGCUGUUCUUUUCUAAUUGCCUUUAUCCUGUAGCUCGAACAGGGGUUAAGAGAACAAGGAUGACUUACGAACAACAGCAACCUUCAGUGCGAGUCAUGUAUAAUUCACUAGCGAGGUCAGUAGCUAACACCAAAGAAUUGUGCAAAUGGUAGUGGUGUUGGGGUAGUUAAUCUGGUUUGCCAGACUAGUUUUUGUUUGAGCUUUGAGUAUAUAUACGAUAUUCUGUUUGUUUUUGUAUUUAUAUUUCUCUCUUUUUCCAGAGCUAGCAAACGGAAACUUGAUGGGCUACUCCAACAGUGGUCAGAAUGGCAUACAACUAACAGCAUGUAUCUAGUAAGUCUUACUUCCCUUUUUUGUUCCAGAUUUGCACUAUAGCCUGCAGUAUGUCAAUAGGAUUUCUGCCGUUGAUUCCUCUCUCCCAGUUUUUAUGUUUGUGUAUACCUCUUUCCAGAAUCAGUUAAUAGUUGAACAAGUUUAUAACUCUCUUCUAUAGUAGCAACUUUUCUCGAGUACUUUUGAGUCCCUGUUGGUUGGUAAUAUACUUCAUUAGUUGCUUACCAUCAGUUUAUUGUCGAUCAUUAAGUCUGGAUCAAUCAGAUUUUACUCCUGUACUUUAUUGUAUUUUAGUUUUCUAUGUGAGUGCGUUUCUUUGUCUUCGUCAACUAUGAGUAGUACUUUUCAUUUAUCAUCAAGAGGUCUGAAAUGUUUGUUUCAAUUCUUUCAGGAUCCAGAUGAAUCAUUAGAAUCUGGCGAAGAAACAUAUUUUCCUGCCAUACGCACUGGCAUCGAGAAGUCCUGCACAGUCGUAAGUUCCAUUUUUCCGAUUUGAACUGUGAUUGAUAUGCCUCAAUCCUUAUUAUCUUUCUGAAUUCUGAGUUGGAAUACCUCAUUCUGCCUCCCCCCUCUCUCCCUCCUCCCAUCAUGAUAUAUAAUGCCUUCUAUCAUUUUCUUUGGUAUGGUUUAUAAUUUGAGCUGGUGCAUUAUCCUUGGUCGAAGAUUUCUUUCAUUUAUUUUUCCAGUCUACAAAAGCUAGAAUGUUUGGCGAACUUGUAACGGCUGUAUUUAUGUGCAUGACCGUACUUGAGCCUUACUUUAAAUUCCGUGUUUAAAGUACUUAACUAAAUUCUGUUAUUAAAGUACUUACAUCCUUGAAAGAGCAAGCUUAAGUCAAAGUUUUUUUCUUGUUAAAUUCAGUGUCAUCUGUUAUGUGGACUUCGUUGUUGAGACUUCUUUUUUAUUGUGUAGUCUUUCUGCAUAGACGACCGGACAAGAGACGAGCAGAACAAUGGCACCAUGCCACUUGACAGCAACAGUGUGCCCCUUUAUGACCGGGGAUUUCUUUUGGGUUUGACAUCAGCAGAUGGCCCACAGAAUGCAGAAAGGUAUGGCACCUGGCCUCUGUAUUAAGAGUAUGUCCAUUCCUCAUUGUUACUUUUCUUUUGUAUCCGCAUUAUACAGAAGCCUGGAGAUAGUGGGUGAUGCUGCUCGUUGCUUCAACUGUGGUUCCUACAAUCAUGCUCUAAAAGAUUGCAAUAAGCCUCGUGACAACCUUGCUGUUAGUAAUGCCCGCAAACAACAUAUGGCCAAACGGAAUCAGAAUCCCCAUUCUCGCAGUUCCAUUCGGUACUAUCAGAGCUCAUCUGGUGGGAAGUAUGAUGGCUUGAAACCUGGUACGCUUCACGCCGAAACACGGGCACUUUUGGGAAUUGGGGUAAGAUUUUUUUGCAGUUCCAGUCACUAAACAAUACAAGUCAUGUCAAAUUUCUAGUCCUUGAUCUUGUUGAUUUGUGAAGAAGCCUGAUCCUUUCGCCCUUUCCCUAUUUGACUUAAUCUUGCAGGAGCUUGAUCCACCACCCUGGCUAAACAGAAUGCGCGAGCUGGGUUACCCUCCUGGAUAUCUAGGUAAUCGAUCAUUUUCAGUUGUGAGUAGUAAUAUUUCCCUGUUGAUGUUUCUUCCGCUGUAAUGUACUUAAAUCUCGUCAUUGUUUCCACAUUGUUCUACUAUACCAACUGAGUUGUCUAUAGCGCAGUCGAAUUAGUUUCAAUCUUCUGAUACUUCUCAUCUCCUAAAACUUGCCUAUUGAUGAUUUACUUACAUGUUAAAUAAAUCGUUCUUACGUAUAUCUUUUUCAGAUGCCGAUAGUGAAGAUCAACCAUCAGGAAUAACAAUAUUCGGUGAAGAAGUCAUCAGUGACUUAAUAAAGAAAAAGGAAGUCAUCAUUGAAGAACAGGAAGAAGGGGAAAUAAAUGAAAUAAAUGUCGCCGAGCCCAGCAAGAAUAAGACAGUAGAAGAAGGGGAGUUGAAUGAAAUAAACAUAGUCGAGCCUGCCAAGAAGAAGACAGUAGAGUUCCCCGGAAUAAACGCCCCGAUCCCAGAGAAUGCCGAUGAAUUUCUCUGGGCGCGGGCUUCCUCUAGUUUUUCUGAUACUUACAGGAACCGGUCACAACGUGAGCACACUAGCAGGUUUUACCACAGCGAACAAAAACGGUCUAGGAGUUUCAUGGAUGAUGGACCACCAGGCGUUGACCCGAUAAUAAGCCCUUCAAUAUCCAGUUAUCCUACGAGAUACGGAAGCCAUGGUGGUUAUGACAGCCCUAGAGACCUUGCGCCUGUCUUUGCAAGAGAUAGAGAAUGGAGGAGCCCUCCUCGAUACGAUGAUUAUAGCAGUCGGGCCUCGUACCGUUCGCCACGUGAAUAUAGCAGUUCGAGAUACGAAUACGACAUGGAUGAUAGAUGGGAUGGUCGUGGUGGUGCGGAUCAUUCGUCGUGCUACGACUAUGAAUUUGAAGGGCAUCACCACUCUAGAAGGCGGAUGCCCUAGGAGAAAGGAGAUUAGAACCUGACUUGUAGCAAUUGAGGCCGUUUGUAUUAUGUGGAGAACAUGUCGUUGAUCGCAUGGCCAUUUUGACAUUUCAAAACUCAACUUCGAACACUUCCUUUAAGUGCCCAAGAUGUUAUGGAGACUCUAGCAGCAUUUGCUGUUUUUAUUCAUGUUGUACGACUUUCAGCUCGCAAAUUUAGCUCAUUCAGGUAUGCAAGGGAUCAGUGGCAUGUGAAAUUUGAAAGUGAUGCUAAGGCCAGGUGGUACGAGUAUGAAGCGUGGAAGCGGCAACCGACAAUGGCAAUCCAACAACAAAAAUGUGACUGACAAAGUCCAUUCACAGAACUCCAACGACAGAACUUCACAGCAGAGCUUAGACGGGACAAACUCUCCACUCUCCAGCUUUCAUUUGUUCCUUUCCCGCUGCUACUAGCCUACUAUCUCUGUUCCCUCUUCAAUGUACGUGGCGUUGCUUUCUCACUGAAAUGGCCAAGUGUCACCGCAGCAACACCAUCGAUCCCUAAUCUUAGAUCGUGUACGAUUGAUAAUUGUCGCGAGUAUCGUGGUAUCAAAUGUGCUGAAUUAUUAGCAUAUCAAAGAUAUGUAUUGAACAUUAAUGUGUUGAUUAAAUGUUAAUAGUACCCAAAUCUCAUUAAUGGUCUCGUCACAUGACUUCCGAUAUUUAUCGAACGACGGGUGUAAAUCUCUACGAGUUGUAAAAUAGCACAUGCCCAUAUAAAAAAACAAACAAAACCUAGUGACCUGGGCCUCCAGAAUAUAAUAUAAGCGAGCAUCAAAAAAUGAGUUCAACGGAUCAGAUUCUUGAUCACGGCAACAAAGUUGCAGCAGAAGUGUUUUGGGAUGCUAUUGAGAUGACCCAGAUAGAUGGAUUCUGGUAUUCCUCCACAAGUGUGCGCUACAUUGAUGCCUUCAGAGCGAACUUCGAGCCCAGCCGAGACGACGUUGUAGUCUUGGCAUCGGUCAGGAAAACAGGAACAACUUGGCUCAAGGCUCUCUGUUAUUCCAUCCUCUAUCGAGGCGAAGAAGAAGAAGAUGAUCUUGCGAGGAUGAAUUCUCAUAGCUGUGUUCCCACCUUUGAGUCUACUCUCUAUAUCGGCAACCCAUCAAUCCCUCGCCUUGACCCUGGCAUGUAUGUCACUCACUCAUGCAUGCUUGUAACCAAGUGGUGCUUAAUUAGAUCGCAGGCUAUUCCACUCUCAUGUUCCCUACAGCAACCUUCCGGAUUCCAUAACAAGGAAACGAAUUAACGGCUGCAAAUUGGUAUACAUCACAAGAGGGCCAAAAGACACAUUGGUAUCCCAGUGGCAUUUCAACAACAAAAUAUUCGGACGGCAGUCUCCCUUCCACUGGAGAGAGCCGUGGAGAGCUUCUGCAGCGGAGUGAUGCCGUUCGGGCCAUACCGGGAGCACGUGUUGGAGUACUGGGAAGAAAGCAAGAAGUCUCCCGACAAGGUGAUGUUUAUCAAGUACGAGGAUCUUCACCGCGAACCGAAACUGCACGCUCGUAAGCUGGCAUCGUUUCUCGGAAGGCCUUUUGGUGAUGAUGAGGAAGGAGAAGUUGAGAAGGCUAUAUGGAGAAGCAGCUUCGACAGGGCUUAAGGAUUUGGAAGUCAACAAGACAGGGAAGCCACCACAAGCGAGCUUGGUUCCUCUUAUGAGGAACAAUCACUUCUUCCGUCGAGGGGAAGUUGGAGACUGGAGGAACUACUUGAGUCUGGAGAUGGCGAAACGUAUUGAUGACAUCACGAGGAACAAGUUUCGAGGUACUGGGCUUUAUAUGGAUGAGGAGGAUGCUUUUUAAUACUAUCGUAAUUAUGGUGUAUGUGUUGGAAUAAUAUGGUGAUUGAAAUGUAAAGAAUGAAAGUUUGAUGAUUGAUAUGUAAAAAGAUGAAAUUGGGUGAUUGUUUUGUAAAAGAAAUUGUUGAGAGAAGCAGAGGAAGCAAGCUGCUUUUUGUCUUUGUUUUUUGAAUGGAGUUGCUUGGAUUGAUACACAAUGAUGUACGGCUUUAUAUAGCCUUUACAAACUUAACAAGACAGAUUAAAUUUAUUUUAUCAUUUUAUCAUAACUAACUUUAUUUAAUUUUGGUGAUUUGAUGAUGGAGAUUUGUUGGUGGUUUGAUGAUGGAGAUUUGUAAGGGUAACACUACAUAGACAGAGACACACAUCACUAAUUGAAAAGCAGUACACAGGGAUGAGGUAGCGUGAAACUCUUUGUAGAAUCCUGCAAUAGUAAAACUUUUCCUACAUAAGUAGCACAUAUGUGACAUGUCCAUAUCAGAAAACAAACCAGAGUACAAUUAUUGCUGCAUGACGGGGUCCUCCAGAAUAUAAAACCAAACACACCUGCUUCGGUUCACCACCAACAGUACUGAGACUGCAAUGAGUUCAACAGAAGCAACAGAGCAGCUUCUUCUUGAUGAUCAUGGCAACGAAGUUCCAGACAAGGAGGAACAACAAGUCAUGUUUUGGGAUGCUGAUGAGAUGACCCAGAUACAUGGGUUCUGGUAUUCCGCCAGAACUGCGGGCUACGCAGAUGCCUUGAGAGAAAACUUCCAGCCCAGUCGAGACGACGUCGUAGUCUUGGCAUCGGCCAGGAAAACAGGAACGACUUGGCUCAAGGCUCUCUGUUAUUCCAUCCUCUCUCGAGACGGCGACGAAGAAGAUGAUCUUCUUGUGAGGAUGAAUCCUCAUGGCUGUGUUCCCACCUUCGAGACUACUCUCUAUAAUGACCACCCAACAAUCUCUCGUCUUGAUCCUGGUAUGUAUGGAUGUAUAUAUAAGUUUGGACUUCGCAAUCGCGAACCUAAAUGUGUUAGAUGAUAUAGUCAUUACGCUAUGGUUAAGGGAUCUCUUUGUAAUUAUGAAUGCUGAUGUAUAGUGAUUCAACAGUCACGAUUACAAAGAGAUCCCUCAACUAUAGCUUAAUGACUAUCUCAGCCACCCUGUUUUUUUUGCAUUUUACAUUGGUGUAUUAACCAAGUGGUGCUUAAUUAGAUCGUAGGCUAUACCAUACUCAUGUUCCUUACAGCAACCUUCCGGAUUCCAUAACAAGGAAACCGAACGGGUGCAAAUUCGUAUACAUCACAAGAGGGCCAAAGGACACAUUGGUGUCCCAAUGGCAUUUCUACAACAAAAUAUACGGCCGAGAGUCUCAUGAUCCCUUCCCAAUGGAGAGAGCCGUGGAGAGCUUCUGUAGCGGGGUGAUGUUGUUCGGGCCAUACUGGGAGCAUGUGUUGGAGUACUGGCAAGAGAGCAAGAGGUAUCCCGAGAAGGUGAUGUUCAUCAAGUACGAGGAUCUUCACCGCGAACCGAAAUUCCACGUUCGCAAGCUGGCAUCGUUUCUCGGAAGGCCAUUUGGGGAUGAUGAUGACGAUUGUGAAGUUGAGAAGGUUAUAUGGAGGAGCAGCUUUGACCGGCUUAAGGAUUUGGAAGUCAACAAGACAGGGAAGCCACCUCAUGCUAGCUCGGUGCCUCUUAUGAGGAACAAGCACUUCUUCCGUCGAGGCGAAGUUGGGGACUGGCGAAACUACUUGAGUUUGGAGAUGGCGAAACGUAUUGAUGACAUCACGAGGGACAAGUUUCAUGGUGUUGGGCUUCGGAUGGACGAGGAGGAUGCUCUUUAGUAUAUGGUAAUUAAAUCAUGUACGAUGUAUUUCUAAGGGUGACGCUACUGUCCCCAUUAAAGUGUGUAUUGAAGAAUAAACGAGUGCUUAAUAUUUCAUUUUAAUUAGAAAUAUAGUUCUAGAAUGAAACUUGAAGAACGUCGUAUGUAAUUAAUAUUAUGAUGAUUAUAAAUUUCAUAUGAGUUUAAUGUAGACUUAAUACAAUUAAAUCUAGAUAACAUACACUUCACUAGCAACAAUGUAGAUAUAGCAAACAAAAGUUAUGAAACAAGCCGUACAAAGCUAGUUGAUUAUGAGUUGAUGGAGCUUAACCAACGAGAGCGUAGUCAGCCUCGUUGUCGCCUGUGCCUCCUAGCGGUGGUUGCUGCAACAAAAACGUCGCGAACAGAAGCCAUCUCUCUAGCAACAUCAGCCGUCUUCAUACGUUCUCCUGCCGUUUCUGAGGAGCAACUCACACCAAUUUCAAGUACUGAUGCCAAACACUCUCUGGCACUUUCAGACAUACGGCCAGAUUCUGCAAUGUUGAUGCUAGUAGUUAAAGAAAGACACACCGAUGGGUCUAAUACUGAUGUUAUUCCAUCGGGAAUUGCUGCUUUCACCAAUUCUCGGAGAUUCGCACCUUCUUCGAACAUUUAGUUCGUGGGUCUUUUCCCGGUGAACAUCUCCAGCACAAGGAUCCCGUAGCUAUGCACAUCACCUUCUUUCGAUACCGGCAUUCCCAUCCCGUACUCUACAUUCCUCAUAAACUGGAACACACAAGUCAUCUGAUAAAUGCAGAAGGCUCCAAGUGGGGUCCUAACAUAAAUUAUUUAACCUUUGGACCCUGCUUAGAUUAAGUUAAAAACCCAUGCAUGCGUAAGCAUUUCGAAUAUAUAAUAGAUGUAUUAUGUAACGUCUCUGAACAUGAAAGCUCGUCGUGGAGUAUUAUAAAAAGUAAUUGAACUCCACUUAAGCAAAAUUCUGACUAUACAUGUCUCGAAACACAAAUUAUCUAGAAACGUAACAGAUGAAAAAUCAUCUAGUUGGUUUGUUAAUUACCUGGAGGUGUGUAACCAAUUGUUCCUUUGAUUCCAAUCGUGCUACCUUCGUUUGGGGACGAGCUUUCGGAUGACAAAAUCCUCGCGAGACCAAAGUCUCCAACAUGAGCAACCAUAUCAGCAUCCAAAAGUAUGUUGCUUGGCUUCAGGUCAAAGUGAACGAUCGGAGUUUCGCACAGGUUGUGCAGAUAAUGCAAUGCUAACGCGACAUCUACCAAAAUGUUAAGCCUUUGGAUUAGGCUCAAUUCGCUACGAGCCAAGUGGAGCCAGUCUUCCAGGCUGCCAUUGGACAUGAACUCAAAUACCAGAGCCUUGAAACCAUUGCCCUUACGAUCUAAGCUAGAGCAAUACGUCAAGACUGUAACAAGAUUCCUGUGUCGGACAUUCUUCAAUGCAUUGCAUUCAGCCACCAAGCUCUUCUGAGCUUUAUUCUCUUGAAUUUUAAGUACUUUCACAGCUACUGAAGUCUGAUCCAUUCCAUCCAACAGUAUCUCUCCUUUGUAGACGGUGCCGAAUCCACCUGAUCCAAUUACAUUGUCAGAAGAGAAUCCAUUCGUUCCUUCAUAGAGGUCUUUGUAAGAAACCAUCACAAAGUGGCUCAAAAUAGAAUCUGCCACAGCAGGUUGCUUCUUUGAUCUCCACAGCUUAUAAUACUGAUACGAAAUUGCAGAUAGCAAAAGCGAAGUCAGACAGGGUAACAAAAUUUUCAGUGUGAGCUUAACCGUUGCAGCUCGUUUCUGUUUAAUUGUUCUCGCAGUCAGGCAAACUUGUAAUCGAAGCUCCGAGAUGCCACCGCAGAGCAACUUAUUCCCCUCAAAAGAUAUGUUACUUGCAUUUGCAAACACGCCCUUAUUUGGAACCUCUCCCUGGAGGUUGUUAAACGAGAGAUUCAAAUUCUGCAGAGCUUGAACGUUGUAAUCCUGAUGGGAUUCCACCUGAAAAUUUGUUCUGGGAAAGAUCCAAACUUUCCAUGUUUUGGAGAGAGGCCACAGCUGCAGGAAUGUUCCCGCUAAAAGAGUUACCCUGCAUAUCCAGAAGUUUCAGGUUUUUGCAGUCCCCAAUAGUUGCAGGAAUUCCCCCUGACAAAUUACUGUAAGCCAGAUCUAUGACUUGCACAUUUUCGAGGUGCCCGGUUUUGUCUGGAAGGCGUCCGACUAAAGAGUUUUGGGAGAGGUAGAGUCAAUUUGAUAGAGAAGAAAGCUUGAAGACUCCAGUGGGAAUUUCACCAGUGAGUUUGUUGGCACUGGUAUCCAGCAGGUUCAACUGUUGGCAGCUUCUUAGACUCAACGGAAUGGCUCCUUCGAGUCGGUUACUCGAAAUGUCGAGUUGGCUCAACACGCUCAAGUUUCCGAUAACGGAUGGAAUCGGACCGUAAAAUCUGUUUCCGUUCAAGAGUAGUCCCUGUAGGUUGUGCAUCUGGCCGAAAUAAGAAGGAAAUUUUCCUGUCAGGAUGUUACUAGACAGGUCCACAUCCAUCAGGUUGACCAGAUUCUCCAGUCCGUCGGGAAGUGCCCCUCUGAUCUGAUUGUCACCUAGAUACAACCGGUUGAUCCGAACAGAAAAAUUGCUUAUCGAAAUGGGUAAUCCCCCCCAAGAUUGUUCAAACUGAGACCAAUCGCCUGCAACUGACUGCAAUUAGUCAACCCUGUUAUGAACUCAAAGUCACCUGUCGAAUUCGUCCCGAGAUUGUUAUCUGCCGUAUCGAAACUGAUGAGUUUCGAGAGACUUCCAAGGCACGUCGGGAAUCUCCCGUGGAAGCUAUUCCGGUUCAUGUUGACUCGCUCUAAUUGAGAAACGUUGCAGAACGAUCGCGAGAUAGGUCCUGACAUCAGGUUUUCUGAAUUGGCGUAGGCCUGGAGAUUUGGGAGAGUGAACUCGAAGUCCUCUGGGAUUCUACCUCGAAACUGGUUGUAAACCAAUGUGAGCAUGGUACGAGUUAUAAUGCGAGGAAGGAAUCGUACUGUUGAGCUGGUUCACCCCAACCACAAAAUUCUCGAUCCUGGAGAGCUGACCCACGGAGUCAGGAAUUUCUCCGACCAGAUUAUUAUACGCCACCGCGAAUGCCACGAGCUGCGACAGGUUCCCCAUGGAAGCAGGAAUUCCCCCUGUCAGGUUGUUGGUCCCCAUUCUGAAGACAUGAAGCAUUCUCAACGACGACCCAAGCAUUCUCCUUCGAGACCGUUGGACCCAUGCUGUAGUGUCCUGAGCUCUACGCAACGUGUCAGGUUGGACGGAAUCGUCCCUGUGAAGAAGUUGUGUCUAAGAUCGAGUUCCUGAAGGCGGAGGAGGUUCCCGAUUUGUUGGGGAAUGUGGCCGUUGAAGCUGCUAUUAUCGAGAUUGAUGGUUUCUAGGAAGGUGAAGUUGCCUAUAUGUGGUGACAGAGUGCUCGCCAGGUUGAGUUCUGGCAAAAGAUAGAGAACCGACUGUCUGACUCGUUAUUGCUGCAGGUGAGCACGGGCCAGUUGCAGAAGUGUAUGGAAUCGUUCCAGGAGUUGAGAAAUCCACUCGGGUCGGUGGUAAUCUCUUUUCUGAACUCCAUCAAUGCGAGCAGAUCGAAUGACGUUGUUUCCGUAACCAUCAGCUUGAAAUGGAGAGUUGAAUGAUGAGAUGGCAAGCAAAAACAGCAGCUUCAGGGGAUGGAGGAGGAGUAAGGGGAAUUGGAGUUUUGAUCAUCCUUCCUCAUUGUGUUUUGGAUAACUUGCUUCACACUUCACCCUUAAUUCAUAUAUUUGUUCGUUUUUAAGAAUGAUUUAAUCUUAAAAUCCGGUUUUAAUGAUAAAUCCAAUGGAUUGACUUUUUAAAUUGACAGAGUGAUGCUAAAAGCCAUCAGAGAUAUUCUUCAAUACUUGGCAGUUGGGGGUAGUAGGUAGCAACUUGGCUAGGUUGCUGACGUCCAAACUGACACGUGUUAUUUGCGUGUUGAUAAAUGAUAACGUACGAAUAAAACAAAGACACCUGCCAGUAUCCGUAUCCGGACUUGGAAAAUAGUACUAAGCUAUGCUAUAGCCUGUAAGAAUAUCGAAUUGCUUAAAUGAUUCAGAGCUGCUGGUAAACUCUGAGCAUAAUGUCAGCCAGCCUAAAUUACUGUUCAAUAUCCCAACAUUACAACUUCUAAUAGCGUAGCUAGGCAGCCAUUGUUAGAAACUUAGAAUGUUUGACCGUAGAUAGUAAAAUACGCACUGGUAGGAAGUCAGUUUCUUGUAGUCAUGGGCGGAUUCAGGGUAGUUGGGGUGUGCAUUUCAGUCCACACCGCAUUAAACUCGAGUAUAUAUUUACGAUUUUUCUCGAGUUGUCGAGAGAUUACGAGGCCGCUGAACUAUGCCGAGAUUCCAGACGUCGAGGACGGCUUCCCCCACCUUGAUGCUUCCGUAGGAGAUGAGGUUGAAGGUCUGGAUGACGAGGCUGCCGGCGGAGGAGCACUUGAGGAUGGAGAUGGAUUUAUAAAAAUAAUAAUUAAAUUAAUGUUUCUGUAAUACCGAUAUUGCACUUUUGAAAUAUUUGAAAGGAUUUUCCGAGAGACUAGCAAUUAUCUUUGGGCAUAAGUGCAUAACCACCGGCGGGCGGGAGGCAGCAGAUACAAGGUCAGUGGAGAGACAGAGUGAUCGUCGUUUCAAAAGAGGAGUUUCACGCCACCGCCGUCAAAAGUUUCCGAUGAAGACGAUUUCUCUGCUUCUGAUGGGAUGUGGAGGAGUUGGUCGCCACCUCCUUCACCAUAUUCUCUCCUCUCGAUCUCUUCAUGCCAAGCAGGUUCCUUUUUCUCCCUAUCUACCUUUCAGUCUACCCUAAUUUUCUUUGCUUACUCUGUUUUUUUUACAUAAAUGAACUUUCACAAUCCAAACAUUUCGAUUUUUUUUUCAAAAAACUCAUUUUCUGUUGUUUCCCUGUGGAUUAUUGACUUUUUUCCAAUGCCCAUUUCUUGUUCCUCCAUUUUGUGUUGCACAUGGCUCCUUGUAUCAUCGGUUUGUUUCUUUUGGAUUGGCAGGGAAUCCACUUGAGGGUUGUGGGCGUCUCUGAUAGCAAAUCGUUAGUUGUUGCAUCCAAUGUGUUAACGGGGGAACUCAAAGAUAACUUCUUGUCUGAAGUUUGCCGGGUCAAGUCAGAUGGUUCUUCCCUCUCAAAACUUGUUGAACUUGGUUAGUCUCAUCUUUUACAUGUCUGUUUUGAAUUCAGGAGGUACUGCAUUUGCUUUCUUGAUAAAUUCUUUUGGUGGUCUCUAAAUUGAAGGUGACUGCCAUCUGCACAUGGAUUCUGAAUCCAGAAGUAAAAUGAUGGAGAUCGCAGCUCUUCUUGGAAAAUCAACAGGUUUGUAUAAUCUAACAGCUCUAAGGUUGGACCUACAUUAAUGUGUGCGAGUGCUAUGGUCUCAGUAAAGUUCAAUUCUGCAAUUUACCUUGUAACAAUAAACAUUGUUUACGUGAAAGCUCAUGGUUUGUCUCUAUCACUUCUUCUGAUUUACAUUAAUGUGACAGGUUUUGUGUUUGUAGACUGCUCUGCCAGUUCAGAGACUGUUGAAAUACUGACUCAAGUAGUUGAUCUAGGAUGUUGCAUUGUCUUGGCAAACAAGAAACCUCUUACCUCAUCAAUGGUAUUGAACUUUGGUAACCAUCCUUAUCAUUAUGAGUCAAUGCAAUAUGUAAUUGGGGCUAAUUGCCUAUAUAGGAGAUAUGCAUAUGAUAUGCCUUCAUCCUUCAAUUAUUGGCUCAUGUAGAAGUUGUUCAUUAAGUCUUUGUUUUAUCUUGCAGGAACGCUAUGGCAAACUUGCUCUGUAUCCCCGUCGUAUUCACCAUGAAUCCACAGUAAGUAUAGUUUUUUCCGUGUUGACGUUUUAAAAGUUUGAAAUUUUUUUGUGGAGCUGGUACAGUGUCACUGUCCCAAUGAACAAAUGCUUACUUUUGUGCUAACUGAAUUGCUUGAUUAUUCGUAGCAGACAUAUGAACCUGCAGCUGAAGCUCGUAAGUAUGCUGAUUGUGUUCUUGUUAGUAGGUUGGUGCAGGCCUUCCGGUGAUAGCAUCCUUGAACCGCUUACUUUCAUCUGGAGACCCUAUUCAUCGCAUAGUUGGAAGUUUGAGUGGUUAGAAUUAAAGAAAUUUCUUGCUUUCUUUACCUUUUAGUUCAUAAAACAGGCACGCUGUAACUUUUAGUUCAUAAACAGGCACAUUGGGAUAUUUGAUGAGCGAGGUUGAAGAUGGAAAGCCACUAAGUGAAGUUGUUAAAGCAGCUAAAACUCUGGGCUUCACAGAGCCAGGUUUGCUUUCUUUAUUUGGGAAUUUUACCUUCUUUUGUCCUACAGUAUGUUCUGUCUAGCAAACAUCAAAAGUAGGUUAGCCAUCUGAAAAUUUUCCAUUGAGAAUCAUACGAGAUUCUAUUUUGAAUCGGUGUCAUGUCUUUGUUUUGCACGUAUCUUUGCUUAUCAUAACACAUUUAUGAUCGAACUUGUUCAUUGGUUAAAGGAAUUGACGUUUGGCAAAUAUUGACAAAACCAGACUGCCUAAGUUUGCCGAUUUCGUUUUACUUGAUGGCGUCUGGUUGAGCUUCACCCGUAAUAGACUAUUUGUUAAACAUCCAGUUUUCUAUGAAUAUGGUUACUAACUUAGUACCAUCUUUGUAGAUCCACGUGAUGACCUUAGCGGGAUGGACGUCGCGAGGAAGGUUAGUGUGCAGAUGUUCUAGACUAAAUAAAGAUGGUGAAUGGCUACACAAUCAUUAUAGGGAUAGACAAGUUUCUUGUUUUAGCUAUAAAAUUGUUAGGUUAUUACUUUUAUAAUUUCACUGAUCUACAGGCUUUGAUCCUUGCUCGACUACUUGGGAAACGGAUUACCAUGGAUAGCAUUAAAGUUUGUUCCAUACCAUUCCUUUCCCUUUCCCUUUUUUCAAUACUGUUGUUCCCGUUUUCUUUAUUAUGUUCUGCAAGUAAUUUAUGCAUGUAUGCGGUGCUCCUGGUAUGUUUUCGUUAUUUUGGUAGAUUAAAAUCUUGUAUCCUGAUGAGAUGGGACCUGAAGUGAUGUCUGUCGAAGAAUUCUUGAGCAAAGGCAUCUCGUUACUUGAUAGUGAUGUUCAAGAAAGAGUUAGAAACGCAUCCAUGCAUGGCAACGUGCUCCGUUAUGUUUGUGUUAUUGAGGAUUCAAGGUACCCCUUUCUUUAUUUGCUUAUGCUUGAAAGAAGGCCUGAAGUGGAUUUGUCAAAUUUGAAUUAAUUGAUUACAUUUAUCAAUCACCAAGCUAUGUUGAAUUCUUGAACUCCAAGAGAUGAAUUGAACAUUCAUAUCCGGUUUGGGAUGUCAUAAUAUGUUCUUGAUGAAUUUUUAUGGGUAUGUGCAUUGUAUUUGUAUUUUCUUUUUCUAUAUCACUUCUAUCUAUAAUAUAAUAUACUAUACUCACUUAUCAAAAAAAUAUGUUCUUGAUGAAGUAGCUUACAUCUCCAGCUUCAAGUAUCUGGUGUCCACAUUAGAAAUUGCAGUAGUUUCUAAUUUCAGUUCAUGCUGCGUGAGAUGAUUCAUGUUAGUUUCAAAAAGCAGAAUUUCCCAAUAAUUUACCAUGUGUGUUACUCGCUUGGCAGGUGUGAGGUUGGCAUACAAGAGCUUCCGAAGAACUCUCCCUUGGGAAGAUUGAGAGGAAGCGACAAUGUGGUCAGUUUUUACGUUUUAACUAUCACCUUUCAAAAUGAAGGAGCUUUUGCUCUUUAAUGUUUCCAUGGGAUCAACCAAUUUGUCUUGCCCUUGUUGCAGCUCGAGAUAUAUAGCCGGUGUUACAGUGAACAGCCACUUGUUAUCCAAGGUGCUGGGGCAGGCAACGAUACCACUGCGGCCGGUGUUCUUGCCGAUAUUCUGGACAUCCAAGAUCUGUUUCCUUGAAAGAGACUGCUGCUUUCUGCAUUUUGGACAGAAUAUGGAUUUAGUAGGAAUUUUAGGUAGAGUGAAGUGGAAUUUUAUUAGUAGACUAAAGUCCAGUUUUGAUUUUGGGGUGAGUUUACAUGUACAUGUCAACUAAAACUCAGCUUCAAGUGUAUUCUCCUUGAAAUCAUGCAAAACUCUCUUCAGUUAGGGACUCUAGCUCUGCAAAUUCUUUCCUCAGAUCAUCGCUUCGAAUUCAUCCAUAGCAUUACUCGGACUUUUCAUACGUGAGUUUUGUCACAGCCUUACCUGAAAGCUGCAAUACCUUGAAAUAAGUUGCUAGACUUCACAUAUUCAGAUGGAUACACGCAGGUGACAAUAUAUAAUGUUCAUUAUAUAUAAAGAAAUUUGAGGUUUAACUAACCCCAGUGUAACUGUAAGAAACGGAAAAGGAAAAUGGGUAGAAGUAAAUAGGGCUGGCAAUUCGGCAGGAAUUGGUUAUUCGAUUUCAAAUUCGGGCUAAAUCUAUAACCGCAGUCGAUUUUAAAUUCAGGAUAAAUCUAUAACCGCAGCCGAGUUGAGUUUGGUUAAUCGAUUUUGAAUUCGAUUUGGAUGCGGUUGACCGCCCUAACCAAAACCGAAUUGAACGAUUUUUCCCGAUUUUCUAGCAAUUAGCCGAGUUCAUAACUUGAUUUUGAAUUCAAAACAUGAAAAACAUUCAGAUUUCAGUCAUAUUACCGAUUUAUGGUUGAUACUUUUCAUAUGAAUUCGGUUACAUUCGAAUUCGGUGAUUAACUGAAUUCACCGAAUUCAAAUUAGUGCCAAAAUCCUUUUCGUUUUCGGGUUCGAAAUCGAAGUACACCUUGAAUUCGGUUGCGAUAAUGGCGAUUUGAGUUACCGAAUAACCGCGACCAGCAAUUAGAACUCAGAUAGUGUGUACCACCUAAUUCUAAAGGCAUGCUGUUGGGGUGCUUUGCAUGAAAGUGUGUAUCACCUACUUAUUGCUUCCUUUCUUUUGUUCUCUCUAUAUAAUGAUGCAAAAACAGAAGCAUCAGCAAUUAGAACUCAGCAGCAGCACACGAUCAUUUACCAGGUUGCUGCAUUCUUCGUUUGGAUAAAGCUUUAGUAUCGAAGAUGAUCAGCUCAGCGUCCAUAUCUAUGCUCCCCCUUGGGCCGCCAAUGAGCAAAGAUUCCUGUUAUUAUCUUAUAUAUCCAAAUUCUGUGUGCAGGGUGGAAUAGGCAUGGGUUGUGCCCUGAGUUAUCUGCCCAGCAAACAAAACUCAGACCACAUCCCAUGCUUAUUCCAUUCGUGCAUCCAUGAUUUGGUAAUCAUUGCCUCCGUCGACUAUAUAUUGUUUCUCUACCAACAAAGACACCAGAAACUUGGCUGAUCAUCAACCUCAUCAUCGAAUUCAGACCUACUGCAGGUAUUCUCUUUUCUUCAUCUUUAUUAGCAAGUUCUGGGUUUCGAUUUGGUUCUUCAUGUUUUCUAUUUGGGCAAUGAUCCACAGCUUUACUGGAUUACUGAAGGAAAAGGUUUCACACACGGAGAUCUCAUUCAAAGUUCAGAGUUACAAGAGGGGAAUCAUCAAAUAUGCAGCAAUAGUUUUUGAAUACAUUAAUCUUAUUACGAUUUGGAAUUACUUACUUGGUCGUCAACUUAAUUGCAGGGAUUGUGUCUCUGAAACUCACCCUGACUGCAAACUUGUUCACAAGAGUUGAAUGGAAAUUACAUUGUGGAAAAGAUCACCCACAUCUUGCUUUUGUCUGCUACUGUGUUACUAAACUAGAACAUAAAAUACAAGCAAAAAUCUAGUAGCUUUUCCAACACAAGGAACGAUUACUAUGGGAUUUUGACCCCCCAUAAAAGACUUUUAUCCAACCCAACAAAUAAUAAUUACUACACUAAGAGGGACAACCUACGACUUCCUGAAUACCAACACAUUACAGCAACGAACAGAACAUGUCCCUUCCGUUGCCAGACCACUGAGGGUUUCAAAUCAAUGCUACAAUAUACUCAACAGCAGCACCCACCUCCAAUACUAUCUACGUUGUGAAAAAUGUCCACAGCUUCUUUCCUACUGAGGCUUCACCGGGAUGUUCAUACUUUUCUUCUUCUCCAUCAUCCAUAUCUUCACGGCCGGAUUCGCUAGGAGUCCCAUUCUCCCCAUCCAUAACCGGUCUCCCACUCACCUCUUCACUCAUUUCCUGGUUUGUCCCUGCCUUAGGUUCACCAUCCAUGUCUUCUGCAACUACCUCAAUCUGCAUCAGAAUGAAGCAGAAUCUUGUGUCAAACAUACAGCCCCUCCUUUUUCAGUUUUCUCAUCUAUUCUAUAAUUAUUAUCACAAAAUUUCACACCACACUCACCUGCGCAGAUUGUCCAUUCUUGCCUCGCUCAGUAGCAUCAACUCCCGAGAUAUUUCCAUCCCCUGGACGCACCACACCGUUGGCUUCUUCUUCAUUUUCGUUCUUCAAGUCCGACGCAGCUGCAGCAUUCCCAACGGCACCCCUGUUUCACAAAUAUUUAGCAUCGAAUAUCUUAACUCGAAAAAUGUUAUUGACACAUGCUUAGAACGUUACACAACAUCUUUUAACUUGCUAUCACAUGUCAAAGUUUCAGGAAUAAAUGAUUGGCUUGUUACACACAACAAAGGGCACGACAAUCAAAUACCGUUUUGAUCGCCGGAGAUAAUAUCGUGUUUCAGCAGGAGCUUGCUUGGUAGUUCCUGCUUGACUCUUCUUGCGCUUGCUAACGGUUACGCUGUCAGAGUGUCCUUCGCUCUCAUUGCCACCACAUUCGCUUGCAGGUGUCUGAGAGGCUAGUCUUCGAUUCCUCUUCCUUCCAGCAAUUCUUUGAGUAUGGUCAUCAGCAAGACUAUUUUCCUCAUGGCUUUCAGAUAUCAAAUGGCUCAAAUCUUCAGCCACAAUAGCCUCCAAUGGCUCCGCAAGAAUCACCUUGGCAUCAGCAAUAACUGACUUCACAGAGUGUGUUCUACUCACUUUUCCUCUUCGUUUAUAGCGACCCGUACCAUGCUUCAAAUCAGAAGGUUGGGAGACUUCUUCCAACUCCAAUGAGCCACUGUUGAUGUUGCUUAGGUCAUUCAAUGACAGAUUAUCUUCAGCUGCAGCCACACCAGAACAUGAAAAAACCAUUUGGUCAUCACGCAAAUGGUUUCCAUAAGCUAAAGAUAGCUCUUUUUCAUCCCCAUGGACAUCAACUUUGUUGGAAAGUGCUUCUUUGUCCGUGUCCGGAGCACCCUCCUUCAAAUUUUCUACUCUCUUAUGUGGUGAGAGCUUGAAUAUUUUUGUAGUAUAUUUUUGUAGCCAAGAUACUGGGGAUACUCUGUGGCCGGAAGGAGACUUCUCGCUCUCUAAUCCCUGUCUGGAAGCAGAAACAUCUGUGUUAUCUUCUCCCGAAAGCAGAAAUUGGAAAGUUAUAUCCUCACAGUUAGUGCAACCCUUGCGUUGCUCAACAAAAGAAUCUUUUUCUUUCAUAAAUUGUUCCCUGUGCUUCUUAAGCUUCCUACUAAGAUCACCAAGCUUGCUGAUAUCUUCAUGAAUUUCAAGUUGUUGCGCUUGGAGAUGCUUCUUGUUUUCAUCAAGUUGUUUUCUGUCUUUUUCUAUCUUGGAUCUUUCUGCGAUUAUAUCUUCCUUCUCUCUUCUAGCUACAUCUCGCAAGAGAUUAACAUUCUUCGAUUCUCCCUGCUUCUCAUCUUCAAAGAGUCUCAUCUUUUCCUGCAGGUUUCUGUCCAUUUCUUCCCGAAGUUUCUGCAAGCUACUCUCAAGUUCAGACUUCUGUAGCUCAAUGUCAUGUAAUAAUAAGUCCCUGUCACUUUGUGCUUUCUCUGCCAUAAUCUUGUGCUCAUGCUCCAAGUUUGCCUUGAAAGAUUCCUUUGCUAACUCAAGAGACUCGAGUUCCCUUUUUACGUAGUCAUUCAUCGCUGUUCUAUCACGCUUUAUCCUAUCUUCUACCAAUUGCUUUUGCUUCUCAAACUUUUCCUUCUCAUCACUAAGACGUUUCUUCUCUCUUUCAAUUUCAGUUCUUUUCUCAUCCAACUCUUCCCACUCCCGUUCAAAGUUCUCCUUUUGCAGCUUCAAAUCGGCAGCAUCCUUCAAGAGCUGCUCCUCCCUAAAUCUGCACCGUUCUAGUUCGACUUUUAGCUCAGAUUGCAAGCGGACAUAGUCAGACCUCUCCUCUUCACUUAUUUGGAGUUUCUCUUUCUCUUCGCAUAGGGUUUGGAGCUGCCGCUCAUUGGUAGCUUUUAUAUUCUCAAGUUCGGCUUUGAGGUCCAGAAGUUGUUCUUUAUCGUUCUGCACGCAUCUUCUCUCUCCCUCCAAGGCUUGGUCUUCAGAUUUGGUGACCUUUUCCCUUUCCAUGAGACCUUCUGAUUUGGAUUCAAAAUCAUUUUCUUUAUCCUUAAGUUUGUCCAGUUUCUUAUCCAAAACCUGCUCUCUUUUUGUAACUGUCUCCUCCAUAUGCUUGAUGUCAAAUUCCUUCUUCUCCAGAUUAACCACUUUGCUUUUUAACUCCUCGUCGACAACCUUGCUCCUUUCCUCAGCUUCCAACUCAAACUCACAUCGUUUUGCAUCCAAAAUAGUAUUGUGCUCGCUAAGGAGUUUUGGAAUCUCAACCUGGAAAAUGAAAGAACAAUUACAAGUCGUUAAAGCCAGAAAUUGACCGUAAGCUGCACAGAACUCAAACCACACACUAGUAUAUUCAGUUUUAAUGAGUAGCUAUUUUCAGAUAGAUAAUAAGAUAACUGCUCAUAACCGAAAACUUCGGUGGACAUCUGGGACUGAAGAGAUUUGCUAAAUCAUAAUUUUCAUUUAUGGUACACUAAAUUAGAAAGGUACUUUCAAGAACGCACUUUUUCCCUCUCAUUCAACUUCUCUUCAAGUAUUUGUAACUCCUUCUCCUUCAACUGUAGAUUCUCUGUCGUAGCAACUAAGUCCUGCAUGAUUGAAUCAACAUGAGCAAUAUGCAUGAAAGCCAAGCCAGAACGAUAGCUCAAGAUACAACAGUAAACACUUACCUUUUCCAUCAGAUUAAAUUUUGUUCGUCGAGUACUAAUAUCAUCUUCUUUCCUCUUCAAGAUUGAGUUCGCUUCAUCUAUCUUCCUCUGUGUCUCUCCUAAGUCCUUUAUUUUUUGUUUAAAUAUUUUAUCACUAUGAGAUUCCUUUUCGUCUCUUUGGUUGAUGCUUCUUAAGCCAUUUGACAAUCGUUGUUCCUCCUCCUCUAGCUUUCUUUCCCACUCUCGAAAUUCAUCUCUUUGCUUAGAAAAAGCGGUAUCAUGUGCUUCUUUCCUGAAAUGAAUGAGCAUAUCCAACAACUUAAUCCACAAAUGAUGGGGCAAAUAAUGAAUUAAAAAAGAACCUUCACAGAAGAUACAAGGAGACGUAAGCACACCCUGUUGCCACUGAUAAACGCUCCAGUCGAAGAGAACUUUCUAGUGAAUCAACCUCCAGCGAUUUCCUGGCUAGCUCUGAGCUCUUUCUGCUCACUUCUGCAAGCCUAGCUUCAAUAGCCCGUCGUUGGGCCUCAACAUCUAGAUACUUCUCUUCAACACUGCUCACCAUUGUGUUGGCAUCAGUCAGUUUUGAAUCGGCCCUGGACUGCAUUUCGGCAAUUUCAGCGUGCAUCUCCUGAACUGCCUUCUGCAACUGUAGUAAGCACAAUUUGUCAAUUUCCCACAUUAUUAAUCCAUAUUCAUUAAUAGCUUAAAAAGCUUCCAAGCUGAUUCCUAGAUGACUAGUCAAAAACAUAAAACCUACUGGAAUAAUCAACAUGCAGUAAGCACAAGAAGCAAACUCCAACGGAUAAGCUCGGCUUGGAGUUGAUGCUAACUAAAUUAAUCACAAGCCGUGAUGCUAACUAAUUUAAGAAUGGAAGUGAAUCAAUUGUAUGAUUAUCUUACAUCGACCGCACAGUGUUUUUCAACAUCCAACGUGUCUCUCAACUUCCCUUCUUGCCUCUCAGCAUCAGAGAUUGCCAUCAAGUGUGCUGCUUGCUCCCGUUUGAUUCCAUCCGUCGUGUCAGUUAAUGCUUGCUUGAGUUCUUCAAAUUCAGCACUCCAUCCCUUCUUUUCCAUGAUAAGAAUACCCAUAUUGUACUGGUACUCAUACAACUGAGAUAAGAGGCCAGUAGAGGAACAUUAGUGAUACAGCAGAAGACCAAACAUAACCAACACACCGGAUAAGAAAAAUGCAACAAUAAGUAAUUCGGAAUCAAUCUCACAAAAGAACCACAUGAUAAGAAAGAUGGCCAAGAGUAAGCCAUGCAAGUCUAGCAGAGCAUCAAUGGCCUACUCGGCCAGGAUUAUGAGGAAAACGACAACACUUUGCAAAUGUAUCCAUUCCUGCUAAAGCAACCAUGUUUGUUUACAUUCCACACUAUCAAACAAACUAAACGGUAUUAAUAACUUCAAGCAUUAACAACCCAAUAUGACCAACAAGUUUCCAAGCACCGGGAUAUCUCAAUGAGUAGGAACCGAAUGAGAAAAUGGAGAAAAAACUUCAAGCAAGAAACAGGGAAGAAAACCAGGCUGGCAACCUCAUUUUCAAGCCUGGAAACCUUGGCCGGCAAAUCCUCAUCGUCCAAAGCAUAGGUGACGCCAUGGGGAGUCAUUGCUUCGGAGAAAUCCACGGCCUUUCCUCUCAGGCGGCUCACACCUCCGCCAAUUUUUGAGGAAUUAGGAGUCCGACGGAAAGCACGCCCAGAUUUUUGAGCCUCAGACCACGACGCCCGUUGCGGCGUCGACAUUGUUGACAGUUUUGCUCGCUAUCCCAAUUGCAGAAAAACAAGAACACCUCGCGAACCCAGUGGAUUUAAACCCCCCGCCAAUAAUUUGGGGGGGAAGAAGCUGAUGAUAAGUCAAUGUGAAAGCAGAGAAGGGGAAGGAAAGAAAACCCUAGGAGCGAAAUUGGCGGUGGAAGAGGGGUUCAAUCUUCCGAACGCCGGUGGGAAUCACUAGCAUUUGAAAGAAGAAACCCUGAAUGAAUCAUGGCAGGUAUGUAUGACCACAAUGAAAAUCGGAAGACCGGACGUAAGAAGCUGGGUUUUCCAGAACCGCGAAAUGUGGAUUUGGGGUCCGAGAACGUCUCUUAACGAACUUUCUUCCCUUUUCGGCGAGUGCCUUUCCAGGGAUCAAUCUGACGGUCCUAUGUUUUCGCCGUCUUCAUCAUCCGAUGAGAUGUUCAAGACGACUUAGGUUAAAUACAUUUAUUUCUUUUCUGCCUUUAAUUAGGCCGCGGGGAGCUCUUUUAGUGAUACUGUUGUUUAUUGGCGGGUUAAUGAUUUCGAAAUCGAAUGUAACACACCCACGAAAUGAACAUUUUUGUAAUCACUAUAUCAUCAUGAGUCAGAUGGUGCCCACUCCAAAUAAGACAACUCAACUCUCCCUAACAACAUCGAGCCUAAAUUGUUAUUCCUAAGAUCAUUUUUAAUGUUUAGAGCUAAAAUGUCAAAGUGCUGAAUUAUAGCGCCAAAAAUAAUACAUUCUAAAGUGUCAAAAUGCUAAAUUAUAGCACCAAAAGUAACACAACAUUCUAAAUUGUCAAAAUGUUAUAAAACUCAAAAGUGAGUUUCAAAUUUAACCUAGCUAAGUGCCAAAUUUAGUGUAUUCGCAAAAAAAAUUUAAGAUUUAUUUGGAGUUCGAUUUGGAUAAUUUUUAUAUCAAAACUGUACAAACUACGUAAAAAUCAAAUCUGGUACUUUAAUAGGACACUUUAACACUCAUCAUUGAAACCUAACCACUUUGAAAACUGCUAAAUGUCAAAUUAGAGCCAGAUUUAACAUUUUAAUUUAACACUUGCCAUCAUCUACAUUAGGUCAUAAUUUUGAAACACCACCUCCAAAUUCCAUUGUUUUGGCACACUCUUAAAAAGAUCCAUCCAAUUCCAAUACAUAACAAACCGUGUCAUUAAUGAAUAACAGAGAAUACACCUUCACAACCAACCACCUACCAGUACGUCACUACAAAAGAAAGAGAAGUACAAAAGCAAACGAUGCUAUUCAUCAUCAUCAUCAUCUCAAAGACUGUCAUCACCCAAUAUUUCAAAUGCAACUUCAUUCCUGCAAAACUCUAAAAGCACUUAUCUAGUCCUGUUUAGUUAUACAUGACUAAUCUUGUUCUCAAUAAUUAGUUAAAAAAAAUCGUGACUACAUACAAACUCUGCUGAAAGAGUUGGUCACGUUGUGAGGAAAGUCCACAGCUUCUUUCCUACAGACACUUCACCAGGAUGUUCAGACUCUGCAUCAUCUUCCUCCUCGUCAUCUUCGUCACCAUCCCUGCUGUCAUCACUCACUCGACGAGAUUCGUCCAUUUCCAUUGUUCCAUUUCCCUUGUUUUCAUCCCGAAUAGUAGCUGCUCCAUCGUUGUGUUCUUCUGCUUCUGCAACUUCCUCCACCUGUCACACAAACAAACACCAACUACAAACUUUUAGCUGCAACUCUUUUACUCCAGAAAACUGCUGCUGUUAACACCAGAGCAUCAUGACGAUAGCUGGUCGCAUUUUACUCGACAUACCGGGACAAUGUGUUCGCUCCCUCCAUUUUCCUCAGCUGCGGAUGUUGUACCGGUAGCAGCUUUUCUUUUGGAUAUAUCUCGGUCCUUUGAACCCAUUACACCAGCGUCCUCUUUUCUUUUUUUAUGGUUCAGCUCAGAUGAGGUUUUGGCAUUCACACCAGCUUCCCUGCUGAAACACGAAAAUUACAGUGAGGAACAAGACUACCAAAGGAACACAUUUAUAAUUAUCAAUAACCUCAGUGGUUCAAAAAGAUUAAUACAAUACCCAAUGAAUGAUACCAUGCUCAUGUUUUGUUGAUAAGGGCAUAGCAAUGAAGUGAAUGACAGGAUGAGGAACUUACAGUUUUGGUCGGCGAAGAUUGUAUCUUGAUUCUCCAGCAACUGGUACACUAGCAACUUUUUGCCGUGUCUUCCUGCGUUUACCAGCCACUGUGCUACCAGAAUGGUCGUCACUAACAUUGCCAUCAUGUUCAACUGUCGCAGUUUGAGAUGUUUGAAUUCUGCUUCUCUUUUUCCCAGUUUUCCGGGUUUCUGCAAGACUAGACUCCUCGUGACUUCCAGAUUGCAAAUGGCCAGAGUCUUCAGUCGCAUUUCGCUCUUCAACAACAGCUUUUACCGAUCUUGUUUUACCAACUCUCACUCUUCUUUUAUUGCGACCCCGCCCACCCUUCAAAUCAGAAGACUCAUAGAUUUCUUGCAGUUCCAAUGACUUGCUGUUAAUAUUGCUUUGGUUCUCUGCUGAAAGAUCUUGCGAUACUGAAGGCUCUUCAGUACCAAAGUGUGCCCGCUGGUCCCCUCCAAGUGAAUCAUUUGCAUAUGAUAAAGAUAGCUCUUGCUCAUCUUCAAAAAAUUCCAAUCUGUUGGAUGGUUCUGUCCCAUCAAUAUCUGGUGCACCACCCUCGGUCAAGUCUGUUGCAAGAUCAACCCUUUUGAACGGGGAGAACUGGAAUAUUUUUGUCCGGAGCCAGGAAACUGGAGUUACUGCGUGACUGACAGAGGGAGACUUCUCAGCCUCUAGCCUACCAGAAGCUCCCAAAUUCGAAUUCUCAGAUCUAGAUGGCCUUGAAACAGGCAAGAUGUCAACAUUCUCAAUUUCUUGUGAGGUGAUAAGGUCAGAAAGAACAAACUGGGAUGUUUUUUCACCACAGUUUUUACAAUCCUUGGUUUGCUCAACAAAAGCAAUGAAUCGCUCUUUCUCUUUACUGAACACUUCCCUGUGGUCCUUGAGCUUCUUGCUAAGAUCUCCAAGUUUACCAAUGUCCUCUCGUAUCUCAACCUGUUGAUCCUGGAGAUGCUUCUUGUUUUCAACGAACUCUUGCCUAUCCUUUUCCAUCCUUACUCUCUCCCUCUUCAGUUCCUCCAUCUCUCUUCUAGCCACAUCUCUCAAGUAAUUGAGAUUUUUCAAUUCUCGCUCUUUCUCCUCCUCGAACAAUCUCUCUUUCUCCUGAAGAUGCUUGUUUGUUUCUUCUUGCUUUUGUUGCAAGCUGUUCUCAAUUUCACUCUUUUGCAGCUCAAUGUCGUUCAACAUUAUGUUUUUAUCACUUUGUGCUUUCUCAGUCAACAUUGACAGCUCAUGUUCCAUCUUGGCCUUAAAUGACUCUUUUGCUAAUUCGAGAGACUUAGACUCCUGUUUGAUGUAAUCGUCGAUAGAUUGUCUAUCAUGGUUUAACUUCUCCUCCUCUAUUAGCUUCUGCUUCUCAAACUUCUCCAUCUGCUCCCUCAUGUUUUUCAGCUCUCUUUCAAUUUCACCUUUUUUCCCAUCCAAUUCCAGCCACUCCCUUUCAAAGUUCUCCUUUUGCUGCUUUAAAUCUUCAGCCUCCUUCAAAAGUAGCUCUUCCCUAAAUCUGCAUUUUUCUGUUUCCUCUUUCAGUUCAGCUUGCAAACGUAAGUACUCGGACCUCUCAUCUUGACUUAUUUGGAGUUUCUCUCUCUCUUCCUGAAUAUGGAGGAGCUGCUGCGCAUUAGUGGCCUUUGAAUUCUCUAGUUCAGCUUUAAGUUUUAGAAGUUCUUCUUCAUCAGAUUGCAGUUGCUUUUUCGCCACCAUCAAGUUCUUUUCCUCACAUUUGAUGGCCUUCUCCCUUUCCUUGUGAGCUUUUGAUUUGGAUUCAACAUCCUUUUCUUUUUCUUUAAUCUUGUCUAGUCUCUUAUCCAGCGCCAGCUCCCUUUUUGCAACUUUUGCUUCAUAAUGCUUGACUUCAGCUUCCUUUCUCUCCACCUCAAGCACUUUGCUUUUCAAUUCCUCGUCCAAGGACUUCCUCCUUUGCUCAGUUUCAAUCUCAAACUCCAAUUUCUUAGCAUCCAAAGAAGCAGUAUGCUCAUCAAGUAGCCUCUGGAUCUCAAUCUACAAAAAAACCGGCAAAUGCAUAAUUAGGAACAGCUACCUACCAGCUAAAAAGAAAUAAUGUAGCAACUAAAUAGCCAAAUCUAUACAUCAACGCAGCACCAAUAUUGUUGAACACAUAUCAAAUAUAUAGUAGAAAAUGGUUGCCCUCAACGUCCAAUAAAAAAAUUAAACAGAAGAGUGCACGGCUUAUCCACCCAUAUCUAAGGAUUGAAAUGAUGUAUAUGGCAUACUCUUCUCGUAUGAUACAUUUUCACUAUCAAAGGGAUAGAGAACUUCAAAGUAUGAAUUGAUCAAAUUAAUAUAAAUCCACACCAAGACAAGAAAGUCAGCAAAAAGAGAGAACAAUUGUUGGUAGAGGCUAAUCAUCUACAUUAGCAAGGCCAAACUAGAUACAGCAAGACAAGUAAACCAAAAAAAGACAAAUUAGUCGGACAUGGUUACCCUUUGAUAUAAAAUCAACUAUCAAUUACACAUUCUAUAUAGAAGUGUCAAGGACUCACUUUCUCUCUUUCAUUCAGCUUCUCUUCCAGGACUCGCAACUCCUCCUCUUUCAACUCCAACUUAUUUUUGAUAGCAUCAAAUUCCUGCAUGGAUCCAUCAAAUUUGAGGACAUGAGUGUACACAAGAAAAGCAGAACAUGUAAUAACUAAACAUAGUUAAAAACAUACAUUUUCCCGAAGGUUCAGAUUAGCAAAGCGACUAUUUAUGUCGUCUUCUUUCUUUUUCAAAAGUGAAUUUGCUUCAUCAAUCUUCUUUUGUGCGUCUUCAAGAUCCUUCUCCUUUAGUUUAGAAACUCUAUCCUUCUCGUUCGCCCUUUCUUCUCUUUGGUUGACAAUUCGAAGACCCUUGGAUAGCCUCUCCUCCUCCUCUUGUAAUUUCUUCUCCCAUUCUCGCAAGUCCUCUCUUUGGUUAGACAAAGUGUUUUCAUGUGCUUCUUUCCUGAGACAAACAACAAACUAACAGUCACCUAAAUGAAAACUUAACACUUCAUCAUUGCAAAUAUUAUAAGAAGUUGGCAUCACUGUCAGAAGUCAACAUACUCUGCGAGCAAGGACAAACGAUCCCUUCGAAGAGCACAUUCACGGGUUUCAACAUCCUUUGAUUUCCUCUCUAGCUCUGAACUCUUUCUGCUAACUUCCGCCAGCCUAGCAUCUACUGACCGAAGCUUUGCCUCAACCUCGAGCGAGUUUUCUUCAACGCUGCUCAUCAGUGCAUUUGCCUCAGCCAACUUUGAGUCAGCCAUGAACUUAAUUUCAGCAUUUUCAUAUCGCAUCUCCUGCACUGUCUUCUCCAGCUGGAGGAAGCCAAAUUUCUCGUGUUACUAAUACAUGAACAGAUAAGAACCGGAAAGUGAACAUUUUAUAACUAAUUAUGAUAAAACUACUUAUACACAUUAUGUAAAAAGCAGCCAAUGAGCAAACCCUAGUCUUCUAGUUCAAAACAAUAGAGCCUAUAAUAUAUGGGACUAAACAUACUUACAUCAAGUACACACUGUUUUUUCACUCCCAGUUCCUUUCUCAAGUUCUCCUCUCGCUUCUCAGCAUCAGAGUUCAGAAUUAGUUGGGAGGCUUGUUCCUGCUUCAGUGCGUUCUUCACGUCAGCUAAGGCUUGUUUGAGUUGGUCAGAUUUAGCAUUCCACUCUUGCUUUUCAACUAGAAGAAGCUCCAUGCUGUAUUCAAACAACUGAAACAGAGAUUUCCCAUUUAUAAACACAGACCAGCUCCGAACCACACACGAAACAAAAUUCUAGGUAAAAUUUGGGUACUAAUAUCGAACUAAAUACAAACCAUAUUAAACCCUAAAAUUCUUCACUCAUUCACCAUAGUUACACCCCCCCACAGUUAUCUCUAGAUAAAAAAGAUGAAAAAGACAAAGUAAACAACGGAGGAAUUGAGGUUCCUGCAAGAGAACUGACCUGAUUCUCGAGCCUUGAAAUUUUUGCAGUCAAAUCCUCACUAUCCAGAGCACGACUAACCCUCCCAUCUCCAGAAUUGGAGAAAGCCGUGCCAUUCGAAUUGGGAGUCUCAAGGUCUCCAGACUUCUGCAAAUUUCUACGGGGAGUGAGAGACCAUACGGACCAUGUCUUCCUCUGCGGUGUGGUAGAAGACGACAUGGCGAAAUCUCACAUCAGCAGUUGGUCGUCAAGAACUGAGGUCAACUGAAUUUCGCCCGCAGCCGCCAAAAAGGAAAAAUUCACCGACUUGGUACGCUCACAGAAACCAGAUGGAAGCAAAUCCCCAGCCUGGACGAAUUUAAUUUGCGGCAAGAGAUCCCCCAGCUGGUUGCAGCAUACACCGGACCUCAACCGGAUCCCCAAAUCACGACGGAGAGUGAGGUUUGGAGUCCGGCAACGUCUCCAAACGAACUUUUUGAAGUUUCUCUCUCCUUUCAGCCCACACAGUUCAUUCAUUAUUUGUGGGUGGGCUUUGCGUGGAUCACUACUGACGCGCUGCCCCCUUCUGUCUUUUUGGUGCGCUUUAUCCAGAUAUAUUAGUAGUUCAUUUACAUUUUUACCCCUGGUUUGUAUACCGUUGGCCGUUUGGGACACGUAAGCUUGAGGGGUCAGACUGGUAUUUUGAUUUAGAUGGCUUUCUUUUGUCGGGAACGUAGUUAAUCAUGUAAAACUUUAAUAUCAUACCAAAAAUCGUUACGUUUUAAAUUAUUAAAAGAGAAUUUAAAUGGUCCAACUGAUUCUAUCUCGAUAAUCUUUGUGAAGAUCUAUGUUAGGAAAAUAUAUGUUAAUGGAAUGGACAAGAAUGGUUGGCAACAACAAUGGCGGAGGUUUAGUGCACAUGUGCGACGAAUAAGCAAACGAUGCUUUGCUCAGUUCAUCCACAUCACCUUCCUGGCGCCUGUAGAAGCCUCAAAUUCAAUUAAAUAAUAAAUCUCAACCAUCGAAAUAAUAGUGCAUGUAGAUCUAACGGGUGUGAUUUUCAGGGUGAAAGAUGGAAAUUGACCACCCUCCCAUCAUUAAACCUCUUCUGCCAUCAGUUUUCAUACGGAUUGAAAUACACUUCGUAUAAAUUAUGUACAGAGUCUUAUAUAGAUUGUGAUACAUUGUAUAUAUGCACACUCUGUACACAAGUCCAUACAUAAAUACUAUUAAAGUGUAAUACAAAGUGUUUGUACAAAUGUGUAUUGUAAAGUGUAAUGCAAGUUGCAUACAUUUUGUAUAAAAGGUGUACAAUCUCCAUACAAGUUUGUGUAUAAUUUGCAUGAAUGUGUGCAAUCCUCGUACAAAUUAUAUGUUUGAGUGCCGCAAAAUUUUUACAGCGGUUAAUCUAGACUCUUACAUAUGUGGAAGAUUCAAGGGUCUGCAUUUCUCUCUGAUCCAAUAAAAUAGAUUUGAGUUUUUACUAGAAUUUAGAGUCAUUUACUUACCUGUGAUUAGACUUACGUUUUUUUGGUCAUAUACAAUUUUCGUUGAGAAAAAUCGAGAUAAUAAACACAAACAAUAAAUAAGAAUCUACUCAGGUUAUGAGAGUUGUCUCCACACAUACCAUAAUAUGUGAAAUUAAAGAGUUUAUCUCGCUACUAUAUGAAAAAUUCUAUUAGCAUCGCGCGAGACCACCCGCAAAUACAAACGAAGACAAACCGCUAGAAAAGACUAGCUUUCUGCAAUGACUACUCCGCAUGUCACACAUAUCCAGAGCUCUAUCAUAAUAGCCUGAAAACACUAGCUCUGCGUCUCCUCAAUAUCCACUAGUCAAACUCCACCAGACGCAUCAACGAUCUCUAGAGAGCUAACGUGACUUCCAAAUUAUAAGGUCAAUGUUGAACGAGACAAGCUCGUAUGAGAGAACUCGAGACGACACGAGCCUAAUAGAUUCACUAAAUAAGAGAAAAGUAAUAAGAUACCACAUGAGUAUCCAUUUAAUGAGGUGUAAUUGAAUUCCAACCUGACACCUAUAAACACGAAUAAUCCGGACAUUCUUCUACCAACUAAACUAUCGGACGAUGGUUAGAUACUUGAAGCCGCGGCGAGACAUAUCUGAAACUUUCCUCCCUCGCCGGUCCACUCUAAAGCACAUAUCUCUGCAGUCAAAAGAAUAAAAAUUCAAUUAGAGGGAGGAAGGCAGGCGCCAGAUCCACAAAUCCCCAAUUCUUAAAAGUCAAAAACCCUAAUUCAUACCAAGAUAAAUUCUCCCCCCCCCCCUUAGUCUUGACGUGGACGGUACAUUACAGAGGAGGAUUGGCUCUCGUCUCCGAAAACAAGGAUCUGAUCUUCAAUGUAAGGGCGAACCUAUUUUCCUUCUCCAUUUACAUCCUCCUGCAACUGCUACAUUUCUCUCACCCUUACUUCCGUGUUUUGUGGUGUUGCGUAUUGCAGGUUCAUCCUGUACUAAUGGUGAUCGGACUUCUACUUAUGAAUGGUGAAGGUAAGUUAGCUCCAUCCAAUGCCUGUAGUUGCGAUUAAAUUGAUUUUAGAUGUUCCUAAGUACCUUCAAUAUCCUAAUCAAGCUAUGCAAUUUGUGGCUGCUUCAUUGUUGUAAGACUAUCAAGAAAGUGGAGACUUCAAUUCUUCUUUGUGUUGUUGUUGCCCUGUUAGUAGAAUCGUAGAAACUGUAGAGAAUCAGAAAGAAUUAUGAAGAGUUAACUUGAAAACGAAGGGAUCAUUUGCUUUUACAUUUUGGACAACCGGCUCUUCAUGAGAACUAAGAGCGAAACCAAAAUGAGGUUUUCUCGUUCUUGAGUAGAUAUCAGCAAAGCAUUGUGAGCUGUAGUUGAGCUUUCGCGAAUCUGAAUGGGACCCGAGUUCCUGAAGGUUAACCUAUGUAAAGAGAUUCCACCUCUCUUGAGAUUUGUGUGUUCUGUGGCUUCCAGAAAAGGAUCGAACUUUUUAAUAAACAUAGAUGAGUCAUGCUAAGCAGCUCACUUCUGGAUGCUUUCUCAAAAUGGAAAAGGAAGCUGCUGCAAUGCAUAUCUAAAAGCAUUCUAUUCUUAUUUGAUGCAUUACUAUUUGAAUCUGAAUCUUGUAUUUGGUGCUGGCUUGCUGCAGCCAUGUUAGCCUACAAGACAACUCCAGGAACCAAAAACUUCAAAAAGCUCGUGCAUCUUGGCCUGCAGUUUCUUGCUCUCUGUUUGAGCUUGAUUGGCGUGUGGGCUGCCUUGAAGUUCCACAACGAUAAGGGCAUUGACAACUUCUACAGUCUGCACUCGUGGCUAGGCCUAGCAUGCCUUUUCCUCUUCGGCAUUCAGGUUCUAUUCAUCAUUCCUUCACUGCACUGGUUACCUAUUCUCCCUCUUCCGCUUAGCCAACCCGACUAAAACGAUGGGUCUUUUUCGUUUCUGCAGUGGGCUGCAGGGUUCUUGACCUUUUGGUACCCAGGCGGUUCGAGAAACAGCAGAGCAACUUUAAUGCCGUGGCAUAUCUUCUUUGGAGUUUAUAUAUAUGCACUUGCUAUUGUUACAGCUACAACUGGUCUGCUCGAGAAAGCCACAUUCCUUCAAAUCAACAAGGUGAUAACACGCUAUUCGACGGAGGCUUUGAUGGUAAACUCAUUGGGAAUCUUGAUCGUUGUUCUUGGAGGAUUUGUUGUUCUCGCGGUGGUAACUCCUCCACGCGGCAAAGGUGAAAUGCCCAGGAACGCGACGGAGUAGAACAUGUUCAUGCAAACUAGCUUAAUUUGUGCCAAUUGAAAGUAUCAUAGGCCUUUUGGUUAGAUGGUGCUAUUGCACAAAAGCACAGGCUUUUACAGAAGAAGAAUGGUCCCCUGGUACCCUUAAAUCAUAUAUUUCUUCAAUUGUUGAGCAAUCUUGAGCCAUUCGAUGUGUAUAGCACCUUUGAUAUCAGUUCAUUCGUAGCUAAAUUCAAAAGUGAAUCCAACAUGGUUAAUCAUUGUUUUGUUAUGAUUCCAUUGAACAUGAAGAAGACCAUAGCUGCAAAACCAAGAAUUUGGCCUUGCGGGUUCGGUUGUUAUGGGAAUAUUGCAGAGAAAGGAUUCGCAGUUACUGAUGGUAACAACAAUCAAACUUGAACGAGUUCUUACUUCUUAGAACAAAGAAGAACAAACAUUUGGCAGAACAAAGAACAAGCACAAUUUAAAUGAUUGCCAAUUCGACAUAGCGAACCCAAAGUGACAACAGUACCAACACUAGCAAACCCCAGAGGAUCCCAGGUAAUGUUGCUUGUUUUACAUCUCUCAGUCUGUUUCUCGAACAAUCAGAUGAAAGAACGUUGAACCGGUCCCUUGGACAGGGCCAGGUGAACCUCCAACCCAUGGUGCAUGUCCACUGGUCGAUAGACUUCAGAUUCACGAGGAUCUACAUCAAACCAAGAAUAAAUUUUAGAACUGAUUAUUUGCAGAAUAAAGAGUAUGUCUACUAUAGGGCGUUCGGCACGAGUUUUACCAUUAAGAUAAUCCUCGAAACCAAAAUCAUCCAAGCUUCCAGUCAUGGCUUCCAACCCAAGCAUUGAUGAAGGAAUAGCACCCGGUGGUCUCUGGAAUCUGUAGAGAAUAUCCGAAUGAGAAAACAAAUAUGACAUGAGGAUAUUGACACCUGAAAAUCUAGGAGUUUAGACACGACUACUAAGAACCGGGAUAAAAAUCAAUUCCCCCCUGAUCUCAUUACCAUUCCUGACAAGAAAAAAGAGUACCACCGCUAGCAACCGUGAUGAAAAAAAUGACUACCACCUCGCUGAUGAUUGUGCUCGGUGGUAGUAUAUGAAGUGAAACAAACAAUUGGAAGGCCAGAGAAAAGAUGGAAGGGAAUAUGGAAAAUCAUACAGUACCCAGCAAAAACAUUAUCUAAUUUAAAUAAACCUAACAUAAUACAAUAAGUAAUUAUGCCUUUAGACAUGCCUUCAAGGAUCCAAAGGAUGUUUAGUGCUGACAUCUUGACAUUCAUUACUGCUUUGUCUGUACGGUGGAGGUAUAAAUCCUUUUUGCAAUCUCAGAAAUUGCUGCAUCAUAAAUACUAGUAACUAGUAAGGCCUGGCUAAUGUCUCUAAGCCUCUUUAUCAUAGCUUUGAAUGGCUGUUUUCAGCCAGCUUACCAUCUCAGCUAUAUUCCAUAUACAUUCGAUUCAAACUACACUGACAGAUGCUUUCACAGCUUACCGUGUCACCAACAAGACAAAUCAAAUAAUCCUAUGGUCUAGUACUUGCCUAUCAGUGAAGGACACUGUUCUCAAAACAAGCAAGCCGUGAUCGACACGUUAUACACCCCACGAGUCAGAACUAUGAAAUCAGAACCUAAAUCGCCACAUUUCUCUUUCUUGCAUGAGUGCAUACAUUAAUAUAAUAAACGUACCGGGUAAGAAAUUGCCUUUCCAGGUCCAUCUUCACAGGGAAGGCGGAUCCGUAAGUGUUUGCAAGGACUCUCCUCUUCAUGUCUUCUUGAGUUCUAAUAGUCUGCAUACCAUUUUUCAAAAAUUAAAAAAUCAGAUUUCCAUGUGGAUCAGCUAGCAACUAAACCUCGAAUUGCAACUCCCAGCUGAAAACCCUAAAAACUACAUCAGUGUACUAUCCAAGUUCCCAAAUCAACAAAUUCAUGCUAAUCCAUUGUUAAAGCUACAGGUAAUCAACACAUAAACAACUGCAUGUGCAUACAUCGAGAAAACCCUAGAUUUUGCCAAUUUUUGCGGGAACCCGCAGGGAAAGACAAUUAAUUCAAAGUUUGAAGUUAUCAGACAUCCGAUCGAAAUUUUGCCCCCCAAUUUAUCCAGCGACACCAAACAGAGGAACAAGCGCGUGCAAAAUAUGAGUAGAGGAGAAGAGAGAUAGUUACAGAUCCAUAUGCAGCUUGGAGAGGGUGAGAUCCGACGAUGUCGCUUUUAACGCCAUGGAGGCCGCAUCGAAGCGGAUCCUUCUCGAUUUCUCCGGCUUUCUGUGCUAACGUCGUGGGUGCUCCUUCCAUUAUCGCGUCCCUGCAAUUCGUUCUGGUUCUUUAGGUUUUGUUCUUGGUGCUCUUCCACUGCUGCUGCUUCUGCUUUGUUUUAUAAGUUUAGUGUUGCUUCUGAUUCGUCUUACUUAUGGGGCAAGCCAAUAUUAGAAUUUCAGGGUAAUUAACAUUUUUACCCCUUAACUUUUGAGAUUGUACUUCUUAACCACAAAACUACUUUUUCUUUGACACGUUCGUACUUUAAUUAUUUAAGUAUAACAACAUGGUCAUUUUAUUUAUUUAUCAUCCAUUUUUUCCGUGCAUCCUAGCUAGUUAACUUAACCAGUUGCUCAAAAAUAAUAUUUAAUUAUUCAACCAUAGUCAACCUAACCAUUUAUGGAGACCCAAGAGAAGAUUUUUAUUCUCUUCAAGGAUAGUCGUGGGGCCAUAUCCNNNNNNNNNNNNNNNNNNNNNNNNNNNNNNNNNNNNNNNNNNNNNNNNNNNNNNNNNNNNNNNNNNNNNNNNNNNGUCCUUAAAUAUUGAAUAUGUCACCAACAAUUUUUUCCUAACCAAGUAAUAAGUAUCAAACAAUCGAGACGAAACAAUAAAGUACUGAACCGGAUCUAAAAUUGUCACAAAGCGAACUCAAAAUAGUCAUAAAUAUAUCAACAUGAAUUUACGCAACCGAAAUUUCCCUAAAUCAUAGCUCCCCAGGCACCCCCUAGAUCCGGCCCCGAGUCUAAACUCAUAUUUUGCAUCAACAUAACAUAUAUAAAAAAACAAGAUAUUGUUUAAAUGUAACAAAUACACUUAAAUUAUAUUAAGAACCAUUACAUUUCAAUAACUCGAAUUGUUACAAAAAAUAUUUAAUUGAUAUUUAUAAUAUUCAUGUCUUGUAAUCUUCUAAUUUUCUCUCUAUUUAUCACCGUGUAACCCAACCGGUCAAAUAGGCGGUCGGGUGAAUUUGAGUACAUCCCUACCGACCUACGAGCUGGCUCUGCAGAUUAUUUAAUAUGGUCAAUUAUCGACCUGAGCUUGCCUAUAUAUUGCGAUAGGUUGGAUAUUGUAUAUAGAUGUAAUGAUACGAAAUCUGAACUAAAGCUGCUGGCUAGACCAUACGUCUAUACGUACGUAUAAUAUAAUAACGACAUGGAUCGUUUCCCAAAGACACACAUUAAAAUAACAAACUCAAUGUACCCACGAAGAUUUAUUCACAUAUUUACACAUUAAAAAAAACAAGUUACCAAUAUCCAAUACGCAAAAAUAAUAAAAAUAUUGAACAAAACGUGUACCGANNNNNNNNNNNNNNNNNNNNNNNNNNNNNNNNNNNNNNNNNNNNNNNNNNNNNNNNNNNNNNNNNNNNNNNNNNNNNNNNNNNNNNNNNNNNNNNNNNNNNNNNNNNNNNNNNNNNNNNNNNNNNNNNNNNNNNNNNNNNNNNNNNNNNNNNNNNNNNNNNNNNNNNNNNNNNNNNNNNNNNNNNNNNNNNNNNNNNNNNNNNNNNNNNNNNNNNNNNNNNNNNNNNNNNNNNNNNNNNNNNNNNNNNNNNNNNNNNNNNNNNNNNNNNNNNNNNNNNNCAGUAAUAUUUUAAAUAACUCGUUAAAAAUAUCGCGAUAUUAAUUCAACUGUUUGACGUUGAAUUAACUCACCAUGAGGCUAAUAAAAUAUUUUAUAUACUACACUCCUUGCACUUCAUAAAUACCAUAUAAAUAACAUAUAGUUUGCUCAAAAGUACCAUACAACAUGCAAAAUAACUUAUCCAAACGAUCUUCUCUUAAUUCACGGAUUCAAAAUACUCGAAGAUCAUAGCCCCAUAAACCCCUCAUACUUUUCAAUAUUUUCGUUACAAAUAUAACCAAUUUAUAAAGGAAAGCAUCUAUUUGAAACGAAAAAAAAUGACAACAUUAGUGUAUAUGCAUGUGAAUGCAAGAGCAGUAGAAUAUUGAUCGAAUCAGAUAAAAAUGCACGUAAACCCAUUCCCGACUCAUAUCCGUAAGUUUCUUUUUGAGUAUUCCUCAUACUCGUCUCAUAAUCCGAUCGAAAAAAAUCAGACAUUCUUGUAUUGAUCGAAUCAGAGAGAAGCAAAUGCCAGUGUGUAUGGGUUUGGUUGCCAUGACUAACCAUUCAUGGAUAUGCAUCCUCGUGUAUCGUACUAUAAAUAAUAAAAUAAUAAUAAUAAUAAUAUACCCUCCGGCCGGCGCGCGGCGGGAGAAGAAGAUCGGAAAAGUCUCUUUGAAGAUUUAGAAGAGACUUCAAAACCAGGAGGCAGACACGUAGUACAUGCCUAGAUUAUUUAAUACUUGUGGAUUAUGACUAUAAACAAAUAUAAGUGACAAUUUACUAUGAAUAUAUAGACUUCUUCUGAGGCCUGGAAUUAGAAAACUGUCUGCAAAACUUAUAAUAUUACUCACUCUCUCGAGGCUCCAGCUCAUCGUCUUCUUCUACUUCAUACCUCUCUCUGGUUUUAUCAUCUCCUCUUUUCUCCUCUCUCUCUCUCUCUCUCUCUGCUUAUAACUGACUGUUUCUCCCCCUCCGCCAAAAUAUUUACUUGCAGAAAAACCCACAGCAACUGAACUGAAGCAUAAGGAUCAAAAACCACAUCUUUGACGCUCGAUGUUCAUACCAAACUCUUGCUUCGUGCAAAGGUACGGUGAGUUUUCAUUUUCCCUCCGCCAUCCUCUGCUGUUUUAUUGUUAUUAACCCACUGCCGGAACUAGGGGUGUUCUGGGAAAUUUCCGGCUCACCCCAGUUUUGAUUCACAUCGUUAAUUUCCCGUGUAAAUUUAUAAUUGUUUCGAGUUCGGCUCAUGGCAAUUUUAAGUUCGUCUCGGUGUUUGGUCCUGUCAAUCGGAACUAGAGGAAGCCAAGAACAAGAAGAGUCCCGACUAUCUUCAUUCUUGGUCUACGAUACAAACUAAAUUAUGUCUGAAGUUUACAUGAUUCGUCAUCCAAUUUAUGAUACUUAUUUGUUUAAACUAAAUAGUCUAUCUAUUCUAAUCUUAUAACCAACUUAUUAGUGAGUUGCCGUAGUUCAAAACGUUUGAAUAUAAGAAAAAAACUCUUUGACAGCACAUAUAAUUUGUUAUUUUAACUAAAAAGUAGUACAACAAAUAUUUUUUCUAUAUAUUUUUAACUUACUAUUAUAUUUAAAAGACUAAAUUAUACAUAUACAUUUUCAAUUCAAAUUCGGCUAAUUGCAUUUUUCAUUCUGGUUCCGUCAUUGUAGUAACCUUCAUUUCGUAAUAUUUUGACGCCAUGAGCACAUUAGCCGCCGCCGGUGGCCGGUGAUGAUGAGGAAGAACGCAAUGAAGUAGGUUUCCUCAACUAGUUCUGGUUAGGGGAAUUAAUUGUGGGUAAUCAUUGAACGAUGAUGGUGACUGUACUAUCCCAUACAUACAGGCUUUGCAGAGUGCAGCCACAUUAAUAGUAAAUAUAGUUGUAAUAAUUAAUUAAGGUCUAACCAUAUACUCUAUAUAUUUGAACAAACCUUUCAAAAAUUUCUCAAAUCUAAUUAUUUUUUCUUUUACUACAAAAGUUAAAAAAUUACGACCGUUUUUUGAACCUGAUAUAUGUUCUACAGAAUUGUAUCUCUAUAUCCCUUAGGUAUGAACUUAAAUAUGGUUUAUAUCUAGUUGAACAGAGUGUGAUUUACCAUAUAGAUUGUCUUUGAGUUAUCACGAUAGUAGAUGAUCGUUAAUUCGGGAUAGUCUUGAUUCUUGUGGCUUCUCCAUUAACAUUUUUUGUCCAAAAUAACAACAAUGAAAACGUUGCAAAAAAUAUUUCGAUAGAUAGAUAAAUAAUGAAAAAGGUAAAAUCAAAAUUAAAAAAAAAACUCUCCUCACCCGGCCCGCCCUUCCCCUCUCCUCUCGCGACUAGUUGGUCCAUUUCGUUGCGAGAGGAGUGCACUGUAACAUCCUAUCCGUAACACAAGCAAACAUAAACCCUUUACAAGUUACAACUACUUCAUAGGACCAAACCAACUAGUGUUUUUUUUUCUUUCCUCCUUCCAAGGAACAUAAGUACUCGAGGAAUAUACGAUCAUGGAUACUGAGUCGGAUCUAACUAAUUACAAGAUAGAAACUAUAAAGCAUGAACGCACUUAGGAACCCAACAAGAACAUUAAUUGGGACGAGGUUAACGUACGAGUUACCUUGAAAUAAAGGUCGAGAUCAUAUAGACACACCAUGUUCCAUCAAUAACAUCUAAUCUACGUAGAUUUUGAUGGAUAUACAUACACAUUUUAUAGAGAGUUGGUCCAGAGAAGGAUGAUAAUAAGAUAGUAAACAGCAAAAUUAGAAAAGCCCCAGAGAUUUAUAGGGUAUGGAAGGAAAUGAAAGAACCCUAAUCUAAAGCAACAUAUAUAAUAUUGAUCAUACGUACACAUCUUACAAGACUCUUAAGUUAUUCUUCAAUGCAUUACUUUUGGAAAUGGAGGACAUGAUUACAUGCAGUAUUAGUUCCGGUGAUCUUGUUCCCCCCAGAAUCUCCCGUUCAGGUGCAACCCUGCAUAUAAGUGUAUGUGGUAAGCUGGUAGCUGGUAAAAACAAUGAUCAUAGUGUUUAUGUGGGAUAGGAGGAUGUUUUUCGGGUUAGUAUGUUUGCAUUCUCUUCCAAACAACUAAAGUUAAUUAUUGGGAUGAAAUACUCUCUCGAUAACUUGAGUUAAUUGGGAUGCAUGUAAGGGUUCAUGAAAGUUUUGGAUGAAAGACUAAAUAUAUAUAAUUUAUUACCAGUUGCAGCGUUGAUAUCCCACGUAGAAGCAGUUGAUAUGUUCUGAUGAUGAGGGAAGAUGGAUGAUGGGAUGGCAUGGUUUAUUGUUGUUGUUGUUGUUAAAGAUGAUGAUGAUGAUGAAGAUGAUGCAGGGUGCUUAAGGUGGUUCCACUUCAUCAACAUGAAUGACUCAUCCUCAGGAGCAGCAGUAGUAGUAGUAGUGAACAGGGAGUUGUUGGAGUUGGAAACUACUCUUCCAAAGCCAAAUGGUUCUUGUUGAUGUUCGUUGGCCAUGAUGGUGCUUCUGUCUUUUGUUCUUGUCGCCCUUGCCAUUUCCUGCAGGUGCUGGUUUAGCAGCAGCGCCUCGUGUUCUUGGUCAUGAUCACCAUCACCAUCAUUAUCGUCAUCAUCAUCGCCCUCCUCAUUCUCCAACUCCAUGAUGUCCCCAGUAGUGGGUUUUCGUUGGAGCUGUUGGAGGCGGUGGAUGGCGGGCUCGGAAUGAGAGAGGAGCCAGUCAAGUGUCUUGGAAGGCUUGUCAAAGCCAAGCAUGUCCUGCAAAUCAAAGAACUUUCUCGAUGUACCAAUUGACAGCCUUACCCUCCUGUCUCUCACCCCUGUUGCCGUCUCUAUCUUGCUGUGCCUCUCCUUCUUCUUCACAUUCAUCCUGAUCUCCUUACCACCACUGCUACCCAUCAGCAUCAUCAUCUCAUUUGCAUUAUUAUCCAAAUUACAGCUGACUGAGUGAGGAGGAGUAGGAGGAGGAGGGUCUGGAUAAGUAAUGUGAUAAGGGUAUGUUGGGAGCAAGAACGGCAAAGUCAUUAACUGGCCAUGGUUGUUGUUUGGAGGAUAAGGAUAUUGGCUGCAGAGGUAAGUACUGUUGUUACUGGUGGUGUUGGUGAUUUCAGGGUCAAACAUUGUCAAGUAGGGUGAAGAAGAAAGGCCAUGGCUUUGAUCAGACAUUGUUGAUGAACAAGAAGAAGAAGAAGACAGCUGCAACAACUGCUGAAAUGGGUUAUUACUAUUAUCAUUAUUAUUCACUACUCCAUCACCACCACCACAACAACUAGAUGAAAACAUCCUCUCCAACUGUUCAAACCCUAAACUCUCAACUUACCUUAGCAAUAAGGAAGGUCCCUGUGGUCCUGCCACCGCUAGUGGUAGAAAGUGCAUUUGCCUUUGGCAAGAUCUGGUGUUCUAAUCCUAGCACAGCCACAAGUAGACACACAGUGAAAGGUCAAACUACUUACCCAGAACCUGGAUGGUGAGUCAUUGGAAUGAAAACCGUUCCUCCAAAGACCUUAUCUUUCUCUGUCUCUCUUUCUCAUCUCUCCUCCUCCUCCAUAUAAAGCAGAAGUAGAGAAGAUGACGAUUUAGCUUCUGCAGCAAAAAAGUUGAGAAGAUGAUGAAGGAAGAACAAACAGCAGACAAAAUAGAAAGGGGGGGUAGGUUAUAGUGGGACAUGAAGAAGAAGAUGAUGAGGAAGAAGAUAAUAACAACCCACCAUUUUCCAUCUUCAUCAUUAUUAAUUAUUAAUGGCGUCGUCUUCUCCAUUCCCUGUUCUCCAACAGUAUCCAAUCCCUUCUUUUCCGGGGACCAACUCCUCCCUCCUUCACAUUUUGUUUUUUUCCUGCUGGGUUCCAUAUAGGGUUACCCUAUCAGAAGCUAGGGUUCUUCAUCAAACAGAUAUCACUACUUCUACUAUUAAAAUAUUGUUUUUUAUUUAAAACAAUUUCCACCCACCCCUGCUUCUCCUUUUUCCGGUGUGGACUCCACUGUCUGUUCCUGUACCUUGUAGGAUGGGACUGCAAAAGUGUAACGUUCUAAGCAAAUCAAGUGGCUGCAAUUCAUAGUGAUUUCCAACUUAAAGGGGCAUUAGGGUUUUAAUCAGGCCACUCUAACGCACCGAAUUACACACAAAUUUGGAGAUAUAAUCUUUUACAUGUUAUGAACUUCAUUGCUCUGUUCUUUUUACUAUAAUAUAUAUCCAGAGCAAAGCAGAGCAGCUACCUUUUAACCGGGGUGAUAAAUGAUUAGGAAAAAAUCAAGGAUCGAUGAAGCAUGUGAUGGAUUCAUGAAGGUUUUAGGUGUUAAUCCGGCCAAUCUGAUCCCCCGAAUUACACAGAAGUCGGAGAUAUAUCAAUGAGCUUUGGGAUUUCUCUUUUACAUUUCAUGUUCUUCACUGCGCUUUGUGUCUUUUACUAUCCUUGUCAACGUACCAGUUAGCUUCAGUCCUUUUUAUCCCUUGUCUUUGAUAUUAUUUUAUCCUUUGAGCCCCAAGAUUCGAAUUAUUGGAAUGCAAUGGUUAAUUUUUCGUGCUUUAGCCGCCUACGAUUUUUGUUUCGGCUUCCGACUAAUUAAUUCCGAUUUCAGAUCCGUUUUCUUUCUUGUCUGCUGUAUCUGUUCACCAUAUGCGGCCUCUUCGUCCUCUGUUUCAAACAUAUAAUAUACAAACAACAAAUGAUAAAUACCUUUACAAUAAACCCUAAGAAAAAAUAACAAUAAACUCAUAAAUACUCAAUCCUAACCUUCAAACAUUACAUUACAAACUCAUAAUCAUAUACUUAACACUAAUUUUGAUCAUAAAUCCAAAUUCAUAAACUCCAAAAAUUAAACUAUAAUUCGUUAACUAUAUCCUAGACUUUAAACACUAAAUUUAAACUUCAAAACUCUUAAUUGUAAGUAAAAACUGUGGUAAUGGCCGGGUACCGUGUACACCUAGGCCCGCCAAUAAUCUAUGUUGGUCGGCCCACCAGCACAGGGCCUCAACUUUAAGGGGGCCUCAAAAUUUCAGUUAUGAAGUAUUAAAUAAAAUUAUUUUAUAAUUAACGGUAUAAUUGGAAAAAAGUUACAAAGGAUUUGUUGGUGUAAUAAAAAUGUGGCGGAAACUACUACAUGAGGACGUUGGUUCAAUUCUCACUGAUUCCGUUUUUAUCAUUUUUCUUUCAUUAUCUAUAAUAAGAGCACAAGAUCAAGAGAGUUUGGGCCCAAUUUCUUUAUGUUUACUUAGUAUUGCUUUCUUUAUAGGUUAAAGUUACACAGAGUUUUCAAAUUUCAUUAGACAACCCUGUGUACACCAAUAGAUAACAGACUGUUACCCAUAUAUAAUAUUGUAGAAACUUCAUACAAAGUGUAUACAAAACUGUGUACACUUCGAAAACAAGUCAUUACAAAGUAUAAUACAAAGUUUUGUAUACCCUUUGUACGAACUAUCUACAAACCUUUAAAGAUUUUGCGUAAAUUUUGUAUAAAUUUCUCCAUGAGGCGUGAUGAUUACGUCUUUCAAUUUUUCCGUCGAUAGAGGCCUAAAUCACCGAAAGACUUUCCGAUCCCCGGAAUCAGUGGUCCGACAACGACCGAAUUCGGGUUGGGUGGUGGAAAAGAAGAAUUGACCUCCUUCUUCCGGGUUAAUCUAGACCUUAUGAAUCGGACUUUCGAACAUCAGUAGGAAUGAAAGAAUUGACGUCUUCUUAAUCCGUAGUUGCAAAUAGACAUCAAAUCGUCGGGACAAUGUUACGAGGAAGCUGCAAGCACAUUCAUCGAACAAGCCCGCCCGUGUUUUCCGCUGAUGUGAUCCUUGUGAGUUGUGUCAUCGUCUUAAUUAGUUACUACGUACGUAGCGCAAUAAACAAUGGCAGCCGAAAGCCGAUGUACGUCUCUAUGUGCAUUCGGAGGUAAACUAGGUGGAGGGGGGGGCCUUCUUCUGGUCACUGUUCUACGUUUUGUACCUGCAGAGACCAGAAGUUAAUAAUAGGAAAAAGAAACUUUACUGACACAAAAAAUCAUUCACUUUACAACUUAUACUAUUCAUGUUUUCUAGGUACGUGUGGGUUGAUGAUGGAGGUUUUGGAUUUGUAAUCGUUAGGUUCAAAUUGCAUCGUCUGGUCUGUUUUUGUAUGAAGUUUUCGUAAGUCAAAUUAUGUAAGAUAAUGAGUUUGACAAUGAUGCGGGUUGUAAGGAGAGAAAUUAGAAGAAAAAUGGUAUAAUGUAUCACGGGAUUAAGUUUCCUUUGAAUUUAAUUAUGACAGUUUGCCUUCUGCUGAGUAGGCAUAGCAGUAUUUUUGUUUUGGUGAUGGGGUGCAGUCGAUGUGAUUAAUGCGAUCAUAACCAUCAAACUCAUACGGUCUGCUGAGAUUUAGCCAUCUAGACCCUCAAGCGUGACCUAACCGCAUUUGGUAAGGUCUGAUAGACUCCUAGCUCGACUCGGUGGUCAAGAAGCCCCUAAGCGAUCCAAUUUAUGGACAAUGACCAUUAUGACUAGGUGUUCAAACCUCUAAGGCCAGUGGAAGAACUAAUCGGGGUGGACGGCUCACCCAAUUUCGAACUAGAUCAUUAAACUCUGAUAUAUAUUUAUAAUUUUUUUGAAUUUAAUUGAGUGUUUGAUCACGUCGAAACUAAAAGAAGUUAGGGAGAGUCCAUACUUACUUAUUUUAUGAGCUCCACAUGUAAGAUUUUAGUAAGAUUUUAGUGAUUUAGUAAUUUUACUAAUACUAUUUAAAAUUUUACUCCAUUAUUAUUUGUUUAUAUCAAGUAAUCUAUGAAAAUUUUGAACGAUAUUCAGAUAGUCCAAGGCAAAGUAUAUUGAUUUGGGCCCAAACGGUCCAAUGACUUUCUAACUUUCCUCCAUCUCCCACUGCUUCAUAAUCCUAUGUCAUGGGUCCUAUGAUGGACUCUAUGUCUGCACGACAGUACGAAUUUCCAUAGUCCAUUGGGCCGAUUUGCUUGGUCCAAUCCGUCUACGUCAUGGCCAUUAGAAAUGCAUAUCCGAAGACUGAAAUGGAUCUGAAGACUGCUGGAAUCGUGGGAUGUAAUUUAUAACCUAAGAGUGAAAACACAUGGAUUUAGGGUAUAUCAACAAGUCGUUCGUGUGGUGGUAUUAGGGACUGAACUUAAAAUAGUUAACCAAGGUUCGAUUUUCAUAAUAACGUUGGAAAAAAAGUAAAACCUUAACCUCAGAAUCAUCUUCGAUUGGAUUAUUCUGUCAGUGGGCCGAAUACCAGAAUUUUUUAAAAAAUGGAUAGAAGGUAUACUCUGAAUAGUGGCAGAAAGUUGAGAAGAAAUUACGUAACAGUUACUGCUAUAUAUGUUAUAUUCUAAACAUUAGUGACUGCUUAAUCAAAUUAAGUAAAUAAGUGACUGAACAGUUAAAACACAAAAGUUCUGUGAACAGCUGGGGAUGAAGUGAUCAAAAUCUUGUCUGUAGCAUCAUGUUUAUUUGCACAAAAAUGGAGCUAGCUAGCAAUACAAUUAUUGUAAACACCUAAGCUAGCCUAAUAAUUAGUUCCCGGUCUGCUGGUGGUAUUUACACACAAAUACUUGGAUCUGAGAAAGAAGCAGAGAUCGAUGGAGAACCGCACCAAGAAAACAUGGGAAGAUAAAAAGCAGAGUCAGUGAGUCAGUCGCGGGAACAGAGGAGGAUAACAACGCAUCUCUUGAUAAUGUAGAGCCGUCCUUGUUGCUGCUUUAGAUACCUCCCCAGCCUUCCGCAUGAUAUCAUCCUUUUCUUCGACGACGACGACGACGAAGAAGAAGAAGAAGAUGAUGAUGAUACGCUGCUCAUUUCACUGCUGGUCCUCCUCAUGAUGAUCCUUUUUCGAUUUGUUCUGUUCCUUUACUGGAUUUCAGGUUAGGCAAUGAGAAUGUGAGCGAUCCAGCUAUGAUCUCCUUUGGUUAUUGGGUAUAUGAUGAUGAUUGUUUGUUGUUUGUAAUGAGUGAGAAUUUUUGGAAGUAGGAGUGGGAGUUAUUUAUAGGCAAAACAGAGCAAGGUUGAGGUCGUGGGGUGCUGCUCCUUACGAACAUGCAGGUGUCAGCAUGGCCCCGCCACUUUCACCUAAUAUUCGGAUCCCGAAGAAAACAUGCACUGAGCCAAAUUUGAACUAAAAUCAACGUAUAGAAUAACGACUUUACGAAUAUGUGCUUUAAACCCGUAAUACUAAUACAAAACACAUUCAUCGUGCUAUUAUUCUAAGUUCAAGCAAGUUGUCUUUCAAGAUUAAAUGGUCAUGCCUAAGUACAUUUGAUAAGAUUUCGAAUUCGAAUCUCAAUUAUUUCAACCUAAUUUGUAAAAAAAGAAAAUACUUAUCAAAGUGGUUGCAUUGGGGUAAAUUAAUUAUGAUGUAUCCAUGGGGCAGGGUAAUUAAUGACUUAAUAAAACAGAAACUACCGCGAUGCCUUGUAAUGCAGCCAAAACUAAGUCGCCUGUUGAAUAAGCUCCACGUGUCAACCUAACAUUAAUUUGUCUCUCUGCGUAUAAUUAACUAAAUCCAACAUCUCACUGAUACAUACAUUCAUACUUAAUUAAUUACUUUUAUUGUUCUAGAGAAUGGUGCUAACAUCCUACACACUAAAUCGUAACCCUCAAACACUAUAAAAUCAAACUCAAAAUCGUAUCACAAGCUCUAAUUUUUUACCAGAAAUCAAAAUUAAUAGAUCCUAAACCCUAUAUAUCAAACUCUAACCCCUAUCACUAUACCCUAAUCCUAAACGAAAACCUUCAACAUCAAAAAUCAUCAUUUUAAGCACAAAAUAUUGAAAAUUUUGACAUACAAGUACCAAUACUCUUGAGGCACCGAAGCGUUUCCCCUUAUUUUAUAUCAUUUAUAGCACCAAAUAGUGAAUUUUUUAGUUGGCUAAUGUGCAACAUAAACAUAAACGGGCCGGAAUGAAAUUUUUAGGUGUGUAUGGUUGGAUUUUCGAGGAUCAUAAUAUUGAUAGAAUAACAUAGUUAUAUAUAUAUAUGGUCAUCAUGGUUUCCCUAACAAAUAACUUGGUUACACAAAUUAAAACAAAUUUCUCCAAAAACAUCAGUACAAAAUACAAAUUACAUACUUCAAAUCAUAUACAUUACUCGACAAUAGUAACUAUGUGACAGAAUAUCAUCCAUAUCGAACGAAGAACGUCCGCGUCUGUCCGAGCUGUAGCUCGGACACGAAGGAGCUGUGGUCAUGGGAUUGACGAUGUCCAUCAGAUAAAUAUCCUAGGAAGGUUCCGAGCAUCAUCCUUAUGCUUAACGACAAGAAGUAAUUAGUCAAAUCUAGGUAUUAUAAUCAACGACCAAUCAUGUAUGUACAUAGAACAUCAUGAAGAAUGGGAAACGUACGUAAUUAUAUAUCCUCCAGGUUCCAUGGAGCAUGCAUCUCCUCAAAAAAAAAAAAACUUUUAGGUUAAUAAUUAAUUCCCAAUUUUCAUGGGAUAUGUUAGCCAUGCAAUCUUCAUUAAAAAUGUUAAUUUUAUUCUCCCUGGUAAUUAAUUAAGAGAGUAGAUUAUACGCCGAAAGGAAACAAGGGGACAGUUUCUGAUCGUCAACUGCCAAUUUUGUUUUAAUGGUAACUCCUAGGUAAAACUAUUUGGCAUUGGCUCCUCACAAACCAAACAUUUUACGUUGAUUCAUGGUGAUUAGGUAAUUAAUUAAUUACCUAGUAGCUAGCUAAUUACCAACAGUACUAACAGACACAAAAGUACGACAUCAUUCCACAUGUUUGUGUCUUGUGCUUCCUUUUUUUAUAUGUGUUUUGUCCCCGUCAUCCCGCAAUUCCUAACUAAUUAAGAUGUAACACGGAUUUUGCGAGUUUUGCUGAUAUUGCUUCAUCCGAUAUCGGAGCGAUUAUUCGAAAUUCAGUUGGGAAAAGUGAUCAACUUUGCAACACAUUUCGUUCCAUGGUCGUUUCCCCCCUAUGAAGGUGAGCUUCUUAAUUGUAAUUAUUAUGGCAAUGGAGUGGUCAGCUGGUUUUGGAUUCCAACCGGUGAUCUUCGAGACCGAUAGUUUGGCGGCUUGUCAAGCUAUCAAGUACUUUCAUGAUGAUGCUACAGAAAAAGGUCGUCUUGUGAGACUUUGUUUUACUUUUUUUAUCCACUCGCGCCUCUUGUGAAGUUGUUUUCAUUAGGAGAGUUCGAAACCGAGCUGCUCAAGAAUUUGUUCGUUGCUCGUGUUUUUUAGCAAUGCCCUUUAUGGGAGAAGCUACCCCUAGCUGGCUCAAUGAGUUCAUCACUCCUGUUUCCACUUUGAUUCAUUAAUGAAAUCCCAACUUUGAUUAAAAAAGACUUGGACUUUCGUGUCUAAAUGGAGUUGUUCUAUUAGUAGAGUUACUUUGUGUUAUGACAAAUCAAAUAUAUUGAGUUCAAAUCUAACAUAUCCCACCGCAGGCACCUACGUAAUUCUUAUUUUCUUUCAUCUUUACUAACCGAGGGUUCUAGUCCGGAAAAAAGACAUCGUUAAGUGAAAAAAGUAUGAUAUUUAGAGCAUUUGAUUGACAACAGGUUAGAGUUUAGAAUCUUGAUGGCCAUGAAUCGCCAUUACAUAUGUUUUAUCGAAAAUUUUGUACGUAAAUUAAUAUAAAAUUUUUUCAGUAGCUAGCUUUCGUCGAUCCUUUUGGCCUUUAAAAAAUCCAAACAACUAACUAAUUCGAGGGAUAACCCAACAACAUUUUCUACACACAUUGUCUUUUCAGUAAAUAUUAUCCAUCUACCGAAUAUAACCAAAUUUUGAAAAAUAACAUCAAUCAACUUAUUCUCUAAUACCACUUUUUGGUGCCCGUAGAUAUCAAUUCUCUGUACAAAAACUAGCUUUUUCAUCAAACAAACUAAUCACAAUUCAAAGAAGGAAAGAUAAGCCGUGUGCAUCUGAGUCCUGACCCACCAACAAAACAACCCAUCAAUAAUAUGGAUCAUCCUUAUUCGUGUCAUCUUUACGCAUGAGCCAUGCUAAUCUUUUUUAUAUCGUUUCAAUUUUAUCGAUCGGAUGUCUCCGAAAGGACAAUAAUAUUGAUCGUCAGGUGAUAUUUCUAUACUACAUUUGGUGUACCAACUGUCUAUAUAAUUAUAAGAGUACGGCAUGCAGACAACAAAAGGGGGGAAAAAUCAAAGGAAGUGGUUUGAUGUAUAGACAAACCCCUCAUCUACCCCCAUCGUGUUGUAAAAGGUUAAUUCACACAUCAACUGCCUAGCUAGUAGCUUAGUUGUAUUUACUAUUUACCGACGGAUCGCUGUAAAUAUUUUGCGGUCGCAUGUUCUACGGGUACAAAAUGUUGUUUGUACAUGUGCCAAUGUGUUGUAUUUCGGUUCAACAUUAUUCCAACACAUCUAGCUAGAUAUGUAACAUCGUCUUUCGAGAUAACUUUGAAUUAAAUAUGAACUCUCAUAUACAUCCGUUGAGACGAUCUAUUUAAACCGAUAAAAAAUUGUGAAUGAAUGAGCAACCUUUGAAUUUGUAAUGGGGGACAUUAUAUAUCAUGGCCCAUAAGGAUUGGCAAAUCAAAGGAGACUCCGGUGAUGUUUGGUAGGGUCGACGACUCAGUGACAAACCAUGAGAGCCAUUCUUCCCUAAUUUGUAUCUUAGAGUGAUCUAUUUAUUUUUGAUUUGUAAAAAUAUUUGUCGAAAUAAAAUUGUUGAUCAGCUUGGUAAAAUAAUUAAACGCAAUGACCGAAAUGUGUAUGAAAAUUAAUAUGUAAAUUAAGUAGAGAUUAAUAUAUCUAACCAUCACAUAACAAUAGUACGCAUAGGCACGUUAAAGGGUACAUCGAUGCAUUUGGUGUGCGAAUAAUUGACCAUUAAUUAAUUAAUAUAAGUGUCAAAAUAUUAAUCAUUACAAAGGAUCGAUGUAUCGUCCAUGGAGGACAUAACCCCCACGUGAUGCUCUCGUGAUCAGGUAUGGUCUCUGCCUUUUUGCAUCCCACACAACUCUGAUUUCUAUUAAUUAAUCAAUAUCAUCCGCAAUCGACAAUUCUGUUACAAGUUCGAAAAAUAUGAAUGAUUAGCAAUUUUAUUACAAAUUAGCACCGAAUCAACUCCAUAAGUGUGGGACCAAGCUGCUAGGCUCGGUGUAUAUAUGCACGAAAACUCGAAGACAAGAAGCGAGAGACUUACCAUGAUUCUCGUUCAAAGGGUUAACUAAUUCACAAAAGAAAACGAGACAGUUUUCAUUCACUAUAACACGAACAAGGGAGAAGAAGAUUUCUUGCUGUCCCACGAUUCAUGCAAAAAUGUUACUUUUUCACGUUAUUUAUCAAUUAUUCACGCAUAUUCAUUAUUUAUUAUUUAUUAAGGCCAAAUAACAAUAUUAAACAGGCGAUUCUGGGUAUCUUUGUAUUGGUUAACACGAAGAUUACUGUCUGGAGGCAAUUAUAUAUUAUAAAUUGAUAAGUCCAUUGAACUUAGCUUUAGAUUGCUGGAAUUUGAGUGGGGAAAAAGUCAGUCAGGUGAUCACCAAAUCAUAUCGUAUCUAUGUUUUGCUUCUUUCAAUCGCAACUCAGUCAUAUAUAGCUCAUCAUCAUGUGCCCAUUGUUAUAGUUUUAAGUCAUCAGAUUAUUAUGAUACCCUUUCCUUUAAUUUAAGGUUCGGCAAGGUGUAUGCCGUAAGUAAGACGGUGAGGUCCUGCCUCACGUCUUGCACAAUUAGGUGUUGCCUAAAUGCGAUUAGGCAUUUUAACAAUAAUGUAAUAGGUUUUAAGUUAGAUGUGCAAUAUAUAACAUAACAUAAGUUUACAGAGUUGAUGUAGUUGACAAAGUUCGAGAUAACUUCGUAACCGACGUUUAAGUUCUCAUAACAUAAGAUAUGGCGAUUAGGCGUCGUUAUUACCGUCUCGUCGACCAUUCAGCAAUUCCUCACCGACUAAUCGCCAAUUAAUCGGCUAGCCGCCUUAUUCGGCCGCCUCGACCGAGGCGAGCGCCUAAUCGCGCCUUCCAUAAACGUAUUUUCGCAAUUGACAACUUUACCUUAAGUGCGAGUAGACUGUGGGCUUUAUUUUUUUUGGUUGAGAUGGUAAUCUUGAGCUUGUCUUUCCUUCAAGUAAAAGACGUAGUGAUUCAAGAAUCAUGUAGGUACAUAUAUGUUCGAUCGGUGAGGAGAAAUUACAUCUAGAAGUCCAACCGUAAUAGAGUAAUUUAGUUGGUAGAUUUGUAUGAUGACUCGAAUAUAUUAGGUUCGAAUCGAUUUCACUCAACAAACCAACACCUAUGAUCCUAUACAAUGUUACAGAUGGAAUAUAACAUGUACAUUGGGCUGAAUUGUUAGCAUUGAGCUAUCUGCCAGUAGAUUUCUAGCCGCGCAACUCAAUCGGUAGAAGUCUGAUGGUGCAACUUAACAGGUAAAAAUUUGGCCACAUAAUCUCAACUUUUGGAGGCGGAAAUGUAAUGGUAGAGUUCUUCUAGCUGCAGAGCGCUACUGGUACAAUCAGCUACAUACACAUGGCUUUGUUAUAGAUCCUGACUUAGAGUUCUGUAACAUGAGUUACACAAAUAGUUGUUAUGAUAUAUGUCGAUGAUCUAAUUAUAGCUGUUGAGAAUGAAGACCAAAUCACAGUUGUUAAAGGUUGGCUCCAACAAGGAGUUCUGAAACACUUUCCUGGUCUUGAGAUUGCAAGGAGAUCAACUGAGAUCAGUGAAUCAAAGAGAAAAUACUGUUUGGAACUUUUGGCUAAUAUUUUCAAGUUCUGCAUUGCAAACCUGCUAAAACACCCUAUAAUGCCAAGUGUGGCAUGUCAACUACUGAUGAUGGACAACUCCCCAAAUGAUCAUGAAUUUAAGCAUCUUUCGGAACAGCUGCAAGCAGUACCUUACCACAACAAACGACAAUCAAUCAGCUUUGCACAUUGCAUAAAAUGACAGCGAAAUGGAUCAUCACGUUAUUCGGGAACCUUUGAAGUCAGGUUCAACAUCGCUCCAACAUGUUUCUACCGACCUGCGAUUGGCUGAUGCUUUUCACUCAAUGCCUGUCUUCUAUCAAAUGACCUUGGAGUGUUGGCAACAGCAGCAUGCUGGGGAAAUUUUGUCCCAAGUGAAGAGACUAGAUUCACCACUUUCAACAGGAAAAGACAGACCACCUGUUCAUUCAUUAUGAAACGUCAAGAAAUCGAUUCAUCAACAUAUUUAUAAGUACUGCCAGAUGGAUUGAUAAGCUGAGGUGCAACGGUGAUAUUGGCUAGUUUCUGGAUGAGCAUCCUAUGGGUAUGCGGAUGGUCUUGCGAGAUUAAGUCGGCCAGGUUGCUGAGUUCAGCACAGUGUAGGUUUUUGGACACCACGGAAGGGGUAGGCUGCAGCAAUCCUGAUUAGUUGCAGAAGGGGACCAUACGCAAGUAAUAUUCAAAAUUGGUGAUGCCCUGGUAAAAGUGUAAGCAUAGCUCUGCGUUUGGGGUGCUUAAUCGAAGCAUGCAUCGAUAUUAAAACAUCAAUCUCCUUUCUUCGAUUGAACCUUUGAAGACCAUAGGCAAAACACAGUAAAAUGUGCAGCUAAACAAUCAAGCAUGCCAGUUGAAAGCUCGAGAAAUUUAAAUUAAUAUCCAACAUCAGGAAAAAACUUUGGAGAUUCAACGCUACCAAGCCAAAAAUUCUUACACAAACGUUCCGGAAAUUAACCCAUCCGACCAAGCAAAAUAACAGAAAGGGCGAGAGAGCUCUCUUUUCUCCUGAAUACCAAGACCAUCAGACACACUCAAUAACGCCCAAUGCCCCAUACUCUGAUGACUCCGUCGGUGUAUCCACUGAACAAUGUGCUUCCAUCCGCACUCCAGUUCAAGCAGGUGCAGUAGAUGUUCU
rnacentral:lncRNA from 1 species